rnacentral:lncRNA from 1 species
ACAAUUACUUAUUUGAUUUGUGCUCCUCGUGGACUGAAGAUUUUUUGAUACUUUAUUUGAUUUCAUUAGCAGCACUACAGCAGAAUUAGAUUAUAAAAAUAUAUUUUUGGAGCGUUUUUGUAUAAGUAUUUUAUUUAUACCAAAAUAUUUUAAAAAAUCUAUUAAGAUCUAAAUAUAAAGUCCAAUCUAACAAAAAAAAUAAAAAAUUUCUCUACUCAACCAAUCCCACCCAAUCCACUCGGUCCGAUUACAAAUAGAAAAGGAAAAAAAAAAAUGAUCACCAUCUCCUAUUCUCCUCCACCGUCGCAGCCGACGAGUUAAGGUUCCGACGGUUGGAGUUCGACCGUAAGAAUCUCGCAGGGAUUGUAGAGGACUACGAUCGCUACGUGUCCCUUCGCCACAGGUUGAUGGUGAAAUGAAGGCGGCCCCAUAUAUAGCAACACUUUUAAAAAGUAUCGAUAAUUUAGUCAACAAUAUUUUUUUUGACCCGUACUGAUAUUUAAAAGUGUCGUUAUAUAUUAUUUUAUUGUAGUGUGGGCUCUCAACAGUGUUGCACCAUUAGUCGUCGUUGUGGCAUAGCAGAAGAUUGCAAACUAUUAGGAUAAGUUACCUCUCAAAUAGUAGAAUCCUGUUCCGCUUGUCGAGGAGGUUUUUUUUGCUAUUAGAACUCUAACUAUUUGCACCAAUUUGUCCAGCUAUUGACGGAUCUGUGCAUUAUGGUAGUUGCUUAGAUUGGAUACAAGAGGGGGGAUAAGAGCCUUAUCCCCUCUCUUGUACCCUUAUGCCUCCUCUUGUAUCCCAACACAAACCUUUUAGGUGGGAACUAUUAUAGUUCCCACCCAAAGUGGGUUAUUUAUUUGGGUCAUCUUGGGAACAAGCUUGUUCUCACCGACCCUGCUGCAUCUUGGGAGCAAGCUUGUUCUCGCCGACCCCGCUGCUAUAUAUAUGUAUAUAUAUAGUGAGGCUACUAUGCUAUCGAAAGUACGGAGCCUUCUGUGCUUCCAGCUUGUUUUCGAUGUUGCGAUUUUCGAAUCGUCGAUCGGCUCCGUUAAACUUGAUCUAGAGUAUUUGGAGUACCUAAAAAAUAAAUUUUAUUAUUUUUCGAUAUCAUUUGCUUAGUGAUCGAAGGGGUUCAAAAUCAACAAAUUUCAAUGGCCGUAGUAAGCCGUUUGCAAGUUUAACAGUGUAGAAAUAUCCAAAUCACGUGAAAUUUUGAUAGAAAAUUCUUUAUACUAUAUAAAACAAGAUCAAUAUCUUUGAUUUAAAAUUUUAAUGUCAUAUUAUUACGUUUUGUAAGAUUUUUAUUUUCAGCCGUUAUUUCGAGCUCCCUUUGUUCACUAGGCAAAUGAUAUCGAAAAAUCUUAAAAUUUUUUAGAUACUUCAAAUACUCUAGAUCAACUUAACGAGCCGAUUCGACGAUUCGAAGUCGCAACAUCGAAAACCGAGCUGGAGCACGGAAGGCUUCGUGCUCCGAUACAUAGUAGCCUCACUCUCUUCCUCUCUCUCUCUCUCUCUCAUAUAUAAUAUACUAUAUAUAAUACAUAUAUAUGAGAGAGAGAGAAGAGAGAGAGAAGAUUUAUUUUUAUUAUAAAUUAGAAUUUAAAUUUAUAAAAUUUAAAAUUUAUAAUUUGAAAAUUAAAAUUUAUAAUUUACGAUUCUAAAAUUUUUAAAGUUUAUAUUUUAACUUUGAUAUUUAAAUUUUAAAUUUUAAAUGUGAUAUUUUAUAUUUUUUAAAUUUAAAUUUGAUCUUACAUUUAAAAUUUAAUUUUUUAAAAUUUGAAAAUUUAAUUUUUAAAAGUUAAAAAUUUAAAUUUAAAAUUAUAAAUGGAAAAUUUAAAAUUAAAAAUUCAAAUAUAAUGAGAGGGUAAUAUUAUUAUUUUCUAUUUAUAACUAUUCACUAUUUUUCUUAAUCCAUCUUGUCUGUUCAAAUGCUAAUUUUUUUAUUUUCAGGAACAACCCAAUUUUUAGCCAAACAAAAAAUGGGUUAAGUUCUCGCCUAUACUUGAAUUUGUAUCUAUCCCUAGAAUAAACAAUUCUUACUUAUACCCGAACCAAAACAAGCCUAUGAGAGUAGCGUUUGGAUCGUGGAUAAGGGGAGGGAUAACCCCUUUUCCCCCUUUAUACCCAAACACAAAUUUUUUACGUGAGAAUAGUAGUUCUCGGGUACCUUAAAUAAGUUGGUAUAACUAUCCCUACCAACACAUCCAUUUUCUAUAUAAAACUACCAACUAUUUUUCUUAUUCCAUAUUAUCUAUCCAAACGCUAUUUUUUUUAUACCAGGGAACAACCCAAUUUUCAUCCAAACGCUAUUUUUCUUAUUCCCAUACUUGUACAUAUUCCUGUAAUAGCUAGUUCUUGCUUAUACCUGAACCAAACGAAGGAUUUAGUUAAAGGAUUUGGUGGUAAAGGAUUUAGUGGUUGCUACACGAGACCUCAAAUUCGAAGUCUAGUUACUUCAUAUUUUCAGCUAAAUUUAUUUAUUUUAAAAAAAUAAAUAAAAUGAACAACAUGUUUCCUUUUUCUCUUAAAAAAAAAAAAAAUCUUUGAGUGUAAUGCACAUUCCUACCCAGAAUUUAAUUAAGUGGGGGCAGUCCCCUAUGCUUUCCCCAAAAGCAAAAGCAAAAGCAAAAGCACAAGCAAAAGCAAUCACUAUCAUGUAUCUCACCAAUAAUUUCUUUUUUUCCUUGGUCAAGCACCAAUUUAUUCCGUUCCAACAAAUAAAUAUUCCCAUAAGCAUAUUCCCCACAACUUUAAAUAUAGGUCUCAUUUAAGAGAUUAGAACUUGAAAAAGGCAAUAAACUGGACCAAAUAUUCAAAGCAACCCACUUAGAUGAUAGAGGUUGAAAUAUAAGAUACCAUAGAGGGCACGUUCAUAUGUAGUUAUCCUACUUUUGAGGCUCUGUUUGGACUGCACAGUUUAUGCGUUGCUACGCUUGGUAUGAAAUUGCGAUAGAACUAACCGUCCUGAAUUCGAAUUCCGUUAGACUUUAUAUUUUGUUUACUUUAAUUUUCUCCUAUUUAAUUAUCUCGCAUCUAAGUCUUGUAAUAAAAUACUGUUCUCUACUAAGCUUAAGUUGAAUGCCGCCAAUAAUUUUUCCACAUUUUGAGUCUUUUAAAGAGUUUAGAGUCCAGACGUGAGUAAGAGUAUUGAAUAUAAAAUAUUAAAAGCUAAAUUACAUAAAAUUCUCUAUAAAUAUCCAUUUUUUUACUUUUCCUUCCCGACUUUUAAAAACCUAUAUUUUGUCAUUUUAAAAUGUUAGAAAUAUUUUCAAGGGAGUACGAUGUUAAUGGAGAGACUAAAAUGACCAAAUUACUCUUAUUUCUUCUAUAAGAUUUUUUAAUAUAUUUAUAUAAUUUUGAAGGGCAUUAGUGGUAUAUAAAUUAUAUAAAAUUGACGGAAUAGUGAUAGAAGAACUUUGACGGAGGGGGGCUAGAUAUAACAACUUGAAAUGUUGAGAGGUAAAAUAUAGGUUUCUGAAAUUUAAGGAGAAAAGUGAAAAAGCGAAUAUUUAUAUAAAAUUUUCUAUAAUUUCGCUAAUAUUAAAACAUUUUUUUCUAGUAAGCUUUCGAAAAAUAAUAACUGUUUCAUAUUAUUUAACAUGCGCAAUAGCCAACUGAGUUCAAUUUUUAAGGCUUUCUUGAAGCGGAGCAGAACAGAAUAGAAUUGAAAGAAGCUUUUUCGUUUAGAAAUAUGAAGACGGCAAUGGUCAAACUUUCUAACUAUUUGCUUUUUUGUUUUUUGUUUUUUUUAUUUUUUUAAGAUUUACUUUGGUUUGAGUAGUUGAGAUAACACAACUUGAUAAAUAAGUGCCCACCACUUGAGCUUUUUUGGGCCCAAUACAAAGUGGGCUUUUUGUAAAUAUGGACGUUGUUGGGCCCUCAUUGCCAUGUUUCCGCUUUUGUUUAUCAUUUCAACAAGAGUAGGUCUUCUGCGCCAUUAGGAACAUGCGCGGAGGUCUCCGUGCUCCUAAGCCGUUUUCAAUGAUUGAAAUUCCAAAUCAACGAUCGACUCCGUUAGACUUGAUCUGCGUAUUUGAAUUAUCUAGAGAAAUAAAUUUUGCGAUUUUUCGAUAUAAUUUAACUAGCGAUCGAAAGGGUUCAAAAUCAACGGCUGAAAAUAAAAAUCUCACAAAAAGUGGUGAUAUAACACAAACGUUCGAUCAGAUAUAUUGUUCUUGUAGUAAAUAAUAUAAAAAAUUUUCUAUCAAAAUUUCAUCUGAUUUGAAUACUUUUUCACUGUUAAACUUGCGGACGAUAUAUAUCACCCUUUAAAAAUUGUUGAUUUUGAACUCUUUAGAUCGCCACGUAAAUGAUAUCGAAAGAUCACAAAAUUUAUUUUUUAAAUACUUCAAAUAUAUUAGAUCAAGUCUAAUGGAGCCGAUCGUCGAUUCAAAAGUCCUAUCAUCGAAAACGGCUUAAGAGCACGGAUGCCACUGUGCUCUUAAUAGCACGCAAGUCCUACUCCUUUUACAAAAGAAUAAAUAUAACAUUUUUUACUAUAAUAGGAAUAAAAAAAUAGAGGUUCUAAGACUUUAAUUUAUUUUGUUUACUGAAGAGAUUAUUAAAGUGAUUAUCAAAGAGAUUUUGAAACAAUAGUUCUCUCAAGAGUAUGUAAUGCUAGAUUUAUAAAGAGAUUAUGUUGCUCUACAACUUCAUCAUUGAAGAGCAACUUUUUGUUCAUUAAUCUCAUCAUUCCCUUAUUUUCACUAUCGGCACGUUUAUAAUUUAACAGUGUUGAAGAAUCUAAAUUUAUUCAAAUUUUGAUCGAAAAUAUUUUAAACUAUUAAUCAAGGACAACAUCCUGAAUCUUGAAUUAAAAAAUUCUAUCCUCAAAUUUUAACAAUUGUUCAAAGUUAACAUUUAAGGAGGAGUUGAGUGAACCCUAGAAAAAACUUUGGCUGAGGGGUUGUACAGUUACAACCCUUUUUUAGUUAUAAGCUAGUAUUUCUCUUCUUUUUAUAGAAACUAUAAACAAAAAUGUACUUUCUUCCUAACCUAUAGCAAAAUCAAACGGAUCUUUUCAACUUAUAUUUUAUUUUUCAUUCCUCUUAUGUUUAACCACGCUUUCACUUAAAUAAUCUUCCAUGUGCUACCAUGGCCAUCCCUGAAAAGCCUCGUUGCCUGGAGUUGUCCUUCAUCUUUUCUGUAACUAAUGACGCCGUCACGGAGUCCAUCUCUUCGAUUUUCAUAUGGUGCAAGUUCACGAUCAAGUUAUCCUAAGAUUCCAGCAUUAUGCAAAGUAAAAUACUAACUUUUCUCUUCAUCAAUCUUCGCAUCAUAAUGCAUUUGAAUGUACUUAAAGUGUUCUUAUACCGUUGCUCCAUUCUUCAUUUUUAGAUUGUACAGUUGUUGUCUUAAAAGGAUUUUGUUCACUAAUAAUAUUUCUUGAUAAGGGAUUUUCAAAUUCUCUUAAACUCCAUUGGCGAUAUAGUUUUGGUCUCUAUUUUGAGCAGCACUGAAUUUUCAGCGCCAAAAAUUAAUAGAUUUGCAAUUGUCGAACAUCUCGUCCUUCUCUUUAAAUUGCUUAUUUGUCCUCCUUUUUGACUUGUUGUCCUUUCCUUGUAAGACAAUAUCACAAGCAUUUUUCACUAGAAUUGCUUGCAUUUCCAACUUUAACAGUGUAAAACCCUCUCGAUACAAAAAGUACAGCGAAAAUCGGAUCUUUUGUAGAGAAACAUGGUGAAAACAAUCGAUAAAAUAGGCACAAUAAUGACAAAGUAAGACGAAGCAAUAAAGAGCAAAGUACAUAAAAAUUUUACGUCGUUCGGCUAACGAUGUGUCGUUCUACUAUUAUGGACAAGACCUCUUCAAUUCAUUCUUCGAUUAAUUCAUGGCGAAACAAAUACAACGAUACAAAGAGUAGUCCGAAAGUUCUAUUUUCCAAAGAGAAAUUGUAAAGUACAUAAAACCCCAAAAUCCAAAACAUGUAAGAAACAAUCAGCAUUAUCCGUCCAAGUCUCCCGAUUCACUUUUAGCCAUUGAUUUUCUUUUAUCCUUCAAAAUAAUCCUGGUCCGAUUUUAAUCUUAAAGUACAAGAAUUAACCGAUUUCAAGUCGAAACCAACUUUGCUUACUUGCCACGGCCUCGGGUCCCGGAGCCUAAACCCAUGACUUCGGAACAUGACACUCCUCGGAGUGUCAGGCUCCGGAAUAUAACUAGAUCGUUCUGGAACGUCGACUAUCAGACCAGGUAAAACACCUUCGGAUUAUGCAGAACGUCACUCCUUGUUCCGGAACCUGGUGAGGUUGCAAAAGACACUUGAAUAGGUUCUGGGCUAGUGGGUUGAAUUUUCGGCGUUCGAUUGUACCCAACUAAUUGAUUCGGAGUGCGACUUUUAUCUUAAUCUAACAAUAAUGCGAUAUUACCCAACUAAUUGAUCUAACGAAAAACAACUUAUGAGUAGCCUACAAGUCAAGCCCAUUGAAAUUGGAGAUUAGUGAUUAGUGAUAAGGUGGCCAACACAGACCAGGUUCCUGUGAAUAUAAUGAAUUGCAAAUAUAUUCCUAUAAAGUUCAACUUUCAUAUAUUAUUUCUAUAAAAUUUUAAAUAUUUUCAAAUAUAUUUCUCUAAUUUGUUAUCGUUAAAAUACUGUCUAUUUUAUAAAUGAAAUGACUUUUUUACCAUCACAAAUAUAUCUCUCCAAAAGUCCCAACCGUUAAUUGAAGAGGGAUAAAAAGUUUAAUUCACCUGAUUAACUAAUUAAGGUUAAGUAUUUAAUCUAUCGUUAACUAAAUUUUUCCAAUAAAUUCUAACGGUAGGGAAAUAUUUGAAAAUAUCAGAACUUUUAUAUGAACAACAUAUGAAAGUUAAACUUUAUAAGAAUAUAUUUGCCAUUCACUAUAUUUGCAGUAACGUAUAUGCAAUUAACCCUACACACACACACACACACACACACACACACACACUGUAGUGUCCCUAGUAUUUUGCGGCCUGGGUGAUAUCAGCAUUUGGGACUUGUCGACACAUCUGGAGAGUGUCGGAACAAGUCGGAGUCGUUUUGGUGCGAAAUAGACGCAAAACGUACUCAACGUGACGCGAGAGUGGAGUUCUAUCACUGAAAUCUGCAAAAUGCAGGAUUUCAGUGUUGAGUACCGGUACCGGUACCCCAGGGGAUUACAGAAUUGGAUGCUCUCGGGUUGGCGCAUAUUUAAUGCUGAGUACCGGUACCGACUUGUCGAGUACCAGUACCGAGCCCAAGUAUCGGCACUGCAUCGGGCGAGUACAGGUACCCAGUGCGCGAGGUUGCGGGCUGAAUGCCUGAGUACCGGUAUUCAAGGGUAGUAUCGGUUCUCCAGCUGAAUUUUUGAGUAGGUAAGGGGUAGUUUGGUCCUUUGCUUUGUCGGUAACUUCAACCUUAUCAUUCACCUUUAUAUAGGUGUAGAGGGCUCAGAGAGGAGGAUGUUGGUUCUACUCCCUCUCUCUUUAGUUUUGGACGUAGCUCGUGGUGAGGUUGCAACUCGAGCUCAGGUGGUUUUCGACGUUGACCCGGAGGGCCCAUCGAGCGUGGGUACGUUGUGGUUGCGCCGUUGGAAGCCGGGCGAGUGCAUGGUUUCCCUUCUUUCGACUUUUCGCUGUUGUUGGAUGAGCUACUCGAGAUAGAUUGAAGUUUAUCGAAAUCGUCGGAUUUCCUCCUAAGCCAAGUUUUUAUCAGCAUGUGUUUUUCAUGUGUAGUAUCCUAUUAUUGCAUAGUGUUAUGAAAUCUGAGUUGGAGCUUUAGAUUUUAGAUUCGUUUUACAUGUUGAACUUGGAAUUGACUUAGGAGAAAAUUAUUGAAUCCUACACUGUCAUUUAUGAAAAGUUACCAGAUUUGGCUUUAGGAGUUGUGGUUCUUUUGUAUCGUCGCUGUUAGCAUGUGGUGGAUACCCAGAUUAGUGUAGAUUGAGGUUACGCUCGUGCUGGGAUGCCGAGUUCAUUUUACAGUAGGGCGUAGACUGUUUCGCAUUGUCGGAUAUCAUCGCGGUUGACGGUGGACUCAGAUGUUUAUAUCUUGCAUCAGAUUGUGCUAAGGGCACGUAAGUUUUGGUUGUUAGACCAGUUAGAACCAUUUGCAUUGACUACAGUUUGUGAGAACCUGAUUGAGCUCGGCAGAGACACGCUUACAUACUCGGUUGGGUAGCGCCCGCGAGUGCCGCUCCGGAGUGAGGCUUUACGUGCGUUGUCGUCGCAGUAGUUUUGUUGAGAUAGUGUUCUUGGGCCGGCCACCUUUGCGGUGGUGUGCGGUGUAGCUUGGACACAGGCGGAAUGGACCAAUUGGCAGUACCUUGGCCUUGGGUCAGUGUACUCGUUUUUGUAGUGAGAUGCAUAUUAUAUCUACAGAUAGCUUGUAUUGGUUAGCGAUAGUAAAGUGGCAUAUAGAUGUAGAUUUCUUUCCAGCUUUUCUUACUAUCCUUUGUUCAUAUGUUUUGUAGACUUAGUGGGCGAACCGUUGAGGUCGGUGGCGGUACCCACUGAGGACUACUCUAUUUUUGCAAUAGUUCUCAUACCCAGUUGUUGACCCUUUUUGCAGAGUUUUCGUCUGUGGCUGCUGCUGUAACUGAUUUGUUCAUGUACAUACUUUUUGUUCGGUUUACUCGCUGGAGCGAGGUGUUUGUGUUGGUCCAGAACUUUUGUAUGCAUUAUGAACCUUAUAUUUUAUAUAUGCAUAUUUCAAUUUAGUAGCUCUAUACUUCUGGUUGCAACUAUGAUUUGAUUACAGGUGCAGCUAUCACUUCGUAUACACGAAAAAUUUCUAUAUAUACGUCGGAUCUAUUGGCGUGCCCGAAAAAAUUUGUAAUUGGGGGACGUGACACACACAAUAAAGUAUGGCCCAUUUUAACAAGCAGAGGUUGCACCUAAAAUGAGGCCUUAGUCCCACACUUUGUGACUCACGUACUCACACAUUAGUGUUCACCGAACCAGGGCAUAAAAAGAUUAAUUAUGGAAAUGAUGAAAUGAUUUAGUCUUAUAGAUUGUACAGUAAGAUUUUGUAUUCUACUAUUGUCCUUUUUGUAAGGGAAAUGAUUUGGCUUUGUAUAGAAAUCACUUAAAUUUUUCACAUUAUAGUGCAAAUACAUUAUUUGAUCAAUAAUAUCUAAAAAUAAUAUAAUUGGAGACUCAUCAUAAGUGUUUUUGUUAUCUAUCUACAAAACAAAAAAAAAAAAAAAAAAGAAUCUCCUCAAUAUUGCAUGUGAUGAACAGUUGAUUAAACUACUUCUGCAAAUAAAAAAAAGAAAAAAAAAAAGGGGGUUCCUAGCUACUUUAUUACCCGUCUUUGAAUUUUGCUGUUUUGGCGACGUUGCAAUUAAUCUUAAAAAAUUAUCUUAUUAUUUUUCAAGAUUAUUGGAGAUGCAACUUGUAGCAUGUUGGAUGAACCUAAAUUAACCUAAAAGCAUGUUAAUUUGUCCAAUAAUCUUUUAUAAAAAAGCUCCUUAUAAAAUGAGUUACAGAUAAAGGAUGAAAAUUUCCAUGAUUGCCCGAUAUAUUAAUCCAUCGUCGAAUGUGAAAGAAUAGCUGGUUUUUGUUAAAUAUAAAAAUACAAAAAUAUAUAUUGUUCUUUACUAAUUUAAGUUAUUAGAGAGUAAUAAUUAUUUUGUAUUUUAUUUAACAUGAUAUCAAAACAGAGUAUAUUAAAAUUCAAAUUAUAUUAGAUUCCUAACAUAAUUCGUUUUCUCCCAUUUUAUUAAAGUCCAUGUCAUCGACCCCAUAUGUGAAUGUGCAACGUUGAAUGAGAAAUUAAUGACACAGGCCAUUUCAUUUUCAUGCAUUAAUUGCGGAAAAUAAAAAACACGCUUUCUCAAAUCCCAAUCUGGGAAUAAACUUCUUCAAAUGAAACCCAACACCAACCAUAAUAAUUAGAGUUAAAUGAAGCUAAUCUCAAACAUAAAACUAAAGAAUUUUAUGUGUUGGUACAUGAACCAAGACAUAACUAUAACUAUAUAUAUAUAUUAUUAUUUUCCCUAAAAUAUCCUCUCUAGUUUUACUUUCUCUUAAAGGUAAUGAUUAAUAUGAUGGCUCCUUGCUCUUUAUGUCACGAUCAAUUAAUAACCAUUACUAACCAUUUUCACUACAAUUAAAUUAAAAGUACUUAAAUUACGUACGUUGAUUCCAAUUUAAUGAUCAUUAUUACCAUAAUCACCAUCCCGGCCACUACUGUCACGAUUAUAAUUGUGGUAAAGUAGCACGUACACAUUCCUAACUUUCACAAAAAAAUAACUACAGUAAAAACCAAAAAGAAAAAAAGAAAAAAAAAAGAAAAACCUAACCUCCCAAGCCAACCCAAACUUCUAAAUAUAGCUCAUUUAGGCCCCGUUUGGAUACCUCUAAAAACGUAGCAUAGUUAAACUAUGCUACGCUGGUAGGAAAAUAAUCCUAUGAAGCGUUUGAAAGAAAAAAAAAUGACGUAAUUUUUGGAGUAUAGUUAUACUAUACUCCAAAAAAUGGAGUAAACUUACAAUCCACUUUAACCAAAGGAAAAAAAUUCCACCAUUUUGGGCUCCCAAAGAUGUAUCAAUUUUUAAAUUUUAAAUUUCAACAUAAAAUUUUAGAUUUCAAAUUUUAAAAUUUUAAAAUUCAAAUUUAAUUUUGAUUUUAAAUUUCAAAUUUUAAAUUUCAAAUUUCAAAUUUCAAAAACUUCAAAUUUUAAAUUUUAAAUUUCAAAUUUCAAAAACUUCAAAUUUCAAAUUUCAAAUUUCAAAUUUCAAAUUUCAAAUUUCAAAUUUCAAAUUUCAAAUUUCAAAAAGUUCAAAUUUCAAAUUUCAAAUUUCAAAAAGUUCAAAUUUCAAAUUUCAAAUUUCAAAUUUUAAUUUUAUUUUUAAUUUUUAAUUUUCAAUCUUCAAAAUUUAAAUUUAAACUUAAAUUUUAAAUUUUAAAUUUAUAAAUAUGUAAAUUUAUAAAUUAUUAAAUUUGAAAUUUAAAAUUUUAAUUAUAGAUUUUUUAAAUUUCAAAAUUUAAAGUUUAAAUGGUAUACUUUAAGUUUUAAAUUUUAAAGUUUCAAAUUUCAAAUUUGAAAUUUCAAAUUCCAAAUUUCAAAUUUCAAAUUUAAAACAUAAAAUCUAAUUUACUUUUUAAAUUUUAAAUUUUAAAUUUUAAUUUUAUAUUUUGAAUUUUUAUUUUUAAUUUUUAAAAUUUUAUUUUUAAAUUUUGAAUUUUGAAUUUUGAAUUUUGAGUUUUGAAUUUUAAAUUUUAAAAUUUUAGAAAUUUAAUUGUUAUAAAUACUGUGGAAUUGUAUGAUAUGUAUCCAAAGAGCUUAAAAAUGAAGCUGUGGAAUUUUUUUGUAGUUACAGGAUUCCGUAUUUCAUUUAGACCAAAACCAUAGAAUAAAAAUUUCAUGGAGUUUUUUAACUAUGCAUCCAAACAGAGCCUUAUUCUAGGUAGGCUAUUCCCACCUGUAUACUAUCAGUAAUACAGUGUAUUAGAUGUGAGUAACGUGAUUUAAUUAUUCUAGACGAUUCAUAAAGAUACAGUCGAUCCAAUAUUUAGAAUGUGAUUUAUUAAGACAAUUCAUAAAGAUACAGUCGAUCCAAUAUUUAAAAUGUAUUCAGACACAUCUUUGAUGAAUGGACGAUAUAUAUAUAUAUAUAUAAUGAAAGUUUCGAUCUAAUACUAAUUCUAAUUUUUUGUGAUGGUUCCAUCUCCGAUGAUAAGAACAUAGACUAAAAACAUCUUGCUCUUAUGCAGAUUGUGAAUGAGGAAUCACAAGAAAAAACUGCCGUAUAUAAUUCGUGUUUGAAAAUCAAAAUCAUGCGUGAUAGAAGGUAUGAAUUUAAUUUGUAUAUGGUUUGACAUAGUAACCUUCAUAUUAUCAAGUUAUUUUUAAUAAUGGGAUAUUGAAACUAACGAUCAGCUUCAUUACACAUGAUAUAUGCUAUUGAAAUUUUCUAGAAACCAAAUUUUAUAUUUUUUCAACAUCAAUAGACUCCUAAUAAAAAAGUCUCCAAUUUAACAAUUUUAAUGAUCGAUUUGAUAUAUUUGUAAAUUUAACGGUGUAAAAUAAUCUUUUUAUACUAUUCGGAGCAAGAUUAGUACUUUUAAUAUGAAAUUUUAAGUUUUUUUUAUUAUUUUUUCUGAAAUAUUUAUUUUCAGCCAGCUAUUUUGAGACUGUUCGUUUUAAAAAUAAAUGAUUUUGAAAAAUUAUAAAAAUUAAUUUUUAAAUACUUUUAAUAGUAUAUAUCAUGUUUAAUAGAGCCGAUCGUCAAUAUGAAUGUCUCAUCAAAUAACUUGGUACCUCUGUGCUACCGAUAGUAUUAAAGCCUAGUUAAUAGGUAGGAAUCUUUCUUACUCUAGAUUUAUAUUUACCACUUGCCAAACUGUAACUUUUUGCAAAUGAAUCGUCCAAACUAUUUGAAAUUACCAGAUAGUUUAUUACAUUCCUAAAUAUUCAGCACGUCGUUGGAAUGAUCCGAUCCAUUAGUAAUAAUAAUUCGUUGGAUUGAAAUCACCAGCCCAAAAUACUUAUAUCCAAUUAUUAUUAUUAUGGUCCACAAUCUCUUAUAUAUUCAAUUGCAAUCCCAUUUUCAUCAGAUGUGAGACUAUUAGAAUAUGACAGUGGUAUUAGGUUUUUAUUUUUUUAAUAACAAAGCCUAAUGUAUGUGCUGAGAUUUUCAAAAAUUUGACAGUGCAAAAGAUUAAUUAUAUUUCAGUUCCUAAACUUCUACGUUAAUAAUUACUUUUAUUUAUAAAAUCAAAUGGAAAUAACACCUAAUAUAUAUAGUGCAGAAAAAUAACCUACAUUGUCUCUAAAUUUAUGUAAGUAUUUGUUAAUAUUAUGUAAAGAACUUGUAUAUCUCUUCCGGAAAACACUUUUGUCUCCAAAAUCUAUAUUUAAAUCAUUUAAGCCAUGGUGGCAAACUACAUAGAUGACGAAGUGCUAUUUUAAAUUGAUUUUGAGAUGAAGAAUAAUAAAACACUUAAUUAUUAUCCUUAAAAAAAAAAAAAAAGGAUUUGAUUGUUUAUAAUUAUUGUAUAAAAUUGGGAUAAUAUCUCACAUGUCCUUCACAACUUUCAAAAAUAUUUAAUAUAUGAUUGGUUGACCAAAAUGCCUUUGUUGCUUACAGAUAAUUUCUUCAAAUAUAUCCCUACUCCUAACAAAAACGGUGUAUAACGAUACUUUUAAAUAUUGCUACAGAUAAAAAAGAGUGCUGCUAGCUAAAUUAUCGAGACUUUUUAAAAGUGUUCCUAUAUGUGGGGUUGCUAUAGGUAAGGCUGCCUUAAUAUUAGGGACCCGCUUCUCCAGCGACCUGUAGCGGAGAGAUACGUGGCGAUCAUAGCCCUUUAUGAUCCCUGUAAGAUCCUCGCGGCUAAACUCCAGCUGCCGGAACCUUACCUAUAUAUAUAUAUAUAUAUAUAUAAAAUAAAUUAUAUAGUAGAACUGGACUGCUAUCGGUAGUAAACAGCUUAGUAUACUACUGAUUUAUUUUUCAAUAAUAGAGUUUUCAAAUCGACAAUCGGCACUGUCGAACAUGAUCUAAACCAAUAAAAUUAUCUAGAAAUCAAAUUUUAUGCUAUUCCGAUAUUGUUUUUUUAUCCAUCAAGUAGACAUAAAAUAAAUGGCUGAAAAUGAAUAUUCUUUAAUUAAAAAGUGAUGAUACAAUUUUUGUAUUCAAGAUUUCAAGUCUAGAACUUUUUUAAAUAGUUUAAAAAAUUUUCUAACAGAAAUUUAGCUAAUUUCGAUUUUUUUAUAUCAGUAAACAAGCAAACAUGCUGUAUCGACCAUUAAAAUUAUAAAUUUUGUGAACCUUUGAUCGUUUGGAAAUAUAUAAAUAUUUCCAAUCGCCUAUCAUAAAUUAUUGCUAGCAAUUAAUCAAGAAAAAACAAAAAAUAUCAUUACUUUUAAAACAAGUUUAGUCAAAUCACAAUAUUAUAUUUUCCCCGCUCUCUAAUAAGAAUCAUAUUAAUAAAAUUUUUAUAUUUUAUAAUUUAUUUUUUUAUUUUAAUAACUGAACUAUAUAUAUUUUUUUACAUGCAACUGCGUUCUGCAUACAUACGCAUAAUUUUUGUUUACAAUGCUUGUCAAGAAUAUUCUAUAAUCUAAUAAUUUUUCAAAUUAUCUAAUACCAUUUUGACCCUAAAAAUGGGGCUCUUUUUUUUUUUUUUUUUUUCGGAAACUGAGCUUUACAAACCCAUGCAUGCUCUUCCAAAUCCAAUAAUAUUUUAAAAAAGCUCCUAUGAGUUUUCUAUUAGUGCUCUAAUUGCAGUAGCUAAAUUAAAGUUUACUAAUUAAAAGAUGAAAACAACUCAAGAGGUGGGUUAGAUAUUAAUAUAUGUAGCACAUGGAUCACGAGUAUUUAUUAGUAGAACUAGUCAAGAAAUUAAAUAGAUUAAUAAACCAUGCUGAAGUACUAAUUAAGAUAGAUAUUCAAAUUAAUGGAUCUUAACUAUAAGUAUUGCUAUAUAUGGGCACUAAAUCUUUUGAAAAUUAAGUAUUACCCAAAAUAUUAAUUUGAUAGAACUGACUCCAUACGUUCUAGAAAUAUACUUUAACUCACUAGCUCACAUGCAUGAUAUAAAUAUAUAAGUCUUGUGAAAUUGACGAAAAGUUAAUUAAGACAUGUAUUAAUUUAACCCACGAUGUUACCUAAUAAAUUAUAAUCAAUUUUACAAAAAUUAAUCUGAAAAUAUAUUCAACUCACAAAUUAAUGACUUGCACUACACAGACCAACACAACACGUAAAUGAAUACAAAUAAUACGUACGCAAUGCAUGCAUUAUUCUUCUACCAUCAUUGUUCUAGAGCAAUUGGUAGAUAUGUAUUCUCUGCAUUAUACAUAAGAUCCAAACUUAUGCCUGUCUCGAACGAAAAACAUGUGCGCGUGUUAUAAUCUGCAGAUAUCUUCUAAAGAGAAAAGAAAAAAAAAACCCCAAUAAUCAUAAACCAUUAAUUGUCUUAUUAAUUGUACCCGCCACAACAUUACUCUAGAACAAUUGUCUAGAGCAGUUGGUAGGUAUGUAUUCUCUAUAUUAUAUAUAAAGUCCAAAUUUAUAUCUGUCUCGAACGAAAAACAUGUGCGCGUGAUAUAAUACGCAGAAAUCUUCUAAAAUGAAAAAAAAAAAAAAAAAAACAAUACUCAGCAUAAACCAUUAUCUUAUUUGAUUGUGCCCACAGCAUUAAUUACUCUUGGACACGCUUUUAUUUGUCCCAAAUGUGAUUGUGUCAAGCGAUACAUCGCAUUUGUUGCAUUGCAUCAGCUAUCUACAUCAAACAGUGUAUGGAUGGGCUCUUUUUUCUUUUUUUUUCCUUUUUUUUCUUAUGGAUGGGCUCUUUUUUCUUUUUUUUUUCUCUCUCUCUCUCUCUCUCUCUCUCUCUCUCUAUCUCUAUCAUUAUUAGUGUUUUCCUUGUUAGAACUCUUUUUUGUACGUGGCAUUCUAUUUGGCCCUUUGAUUAUGUAGCCUAAUCUCUCAACACAUUACUUAAUUAGUUUUUAAUUAAUUUGCACAACACCAACUACGUGCCCUUUGUUAUUGCGUGUGAGCUUCGUCCAACACAUGUACACCCGGCACCCUCGUUCUCCUUUUUCAUCAUCCAAUCCCCACCCAACGCAUGUUCGAGCUGAGGCGAGGGCUUUUCAAAGAAGCCAUUUGGUUCCCUUGGAUCGCCAUCAAAGUGGGGGAAACAUGGUACUACAGUUGACAAGGAUGUGUGUGAACCCUAGCUUUGCAAUGAAUUACUAGGACGUGACAUUUUUCAACCGUGAUGGAAACAAAUUUUAUCAGAGUUUUGCUCGGAUGCUAUUGAUAACACCAACCCGUAGGCUUGGUGCUAUCAAAUUUUUCACUGUUAAAUUUAAUUCUUUAAUUAUUUUUAUUCGUUAGAUUAUGCUAUUCUUAAUUCAACCAACCACCCACUCAAUUCUAAGAGGUCCAUAUCAUCCUAACCGCAUAUAUCUUAAUCGAAGGGCUAAAAAAAUAAUAGCACCAAUAGUUUGGUGCUAUUGAUAGUAUUUCAGCAUAGUUCUAUAUAUAUAGUUAAAUAAAGCCAUUGAUCCACAAGUUAUUUUCUUGUAUCUUUCUUUACGUUGAUAUAUAAUUGUUGGAUUGUUGAUGUACGUCAAAUCAUUAAUUUCAAAAACUCGGACAGUUAAAAAGAUUCAACUAAUUAUUCACUUAAAGUAUAUAUAUAUACGUAUCGAUAUAGCGCACAUGAGUCUUAAUUGUGACUCGGAUCCAUAUCUAGGUAUUUAUGUUACUAAUAUACCCAUCGGAUUUAUUUUUAGCGGGUCUGGGUAGUGACUAGCUACCGUAUACUACCCGCUUAAGAUGGGAUACGGGUCGGGUCUAGAUCGGAUAUAAAUACCCGUAUGCACAUAUUUUAUAGACUAUUAAACAGUUUAUUGGCAAAUCAUAAAUCUCUCACUAUAGAAAACUUGCAUUCUAAUGAAGUGCACCCAGUAAGAGGGAUUAAAGAGGCAAAAGAGCGAUUAGGGUUUGAUUUCCUUUUCGUUUUCUUUUGUUUAUUCUUUUCCUUAACUUCAACGAUAAAUAAGAGCCACUGGUUAGAAACGAAGAUUCAAGCAGUAAACAAAAUGGCUAGCGUUAAAAAAAAUAAGGAGCUAAAAAAAAAAAAGUAAAAAAAAAAGGAGUAAACAUGGCGGAUAAGUUUCAUUAUAAUAACAAUCAAAUCCUAGCUUUCCAAAAGAUACUCAUCAUGUCAUCUUGUUCCUCCCAUCCUGAAUUUAACUGAAAAUUUAUGAGAGGAAUAUGAUGGCUAAAUUUCACCAUUGAUCCUUAAAUUAUUAUUUGCCUGCAGGCUUUUCCUUCCCCUGGUCCUUAAAUAAUAAUAAAAAAAAAAUCCUUAAAUUAUUAUUCGUGUCUUACUUUGAUACUUCAAUAACAAACGUAGUUCAUAAUUAAUGUUGGGCCCGCCUUAAUUAUAACACUCUCGUACCAAUUCCUGUAAUUGACCCUACGAUUAAAAAUCUAAAAUAAUGUACGUAGUUUUGUGCCCACACCCUUUUAAAUUACUUUUUUUAGAAUUUAUUGAAUAGUCGAGUUUCUCUUGUGAACUCUCAUGACUUAUGUGAACGUGAAAAUUGGAUCGAACAAUUUCUGAGUGUUUUCAGAAUUGAUCUUCACCUUUUUGAGUAUUUCCAGAACAGUUUCUCUCUUUCCGGCCCUCCUUUCUUUCCCUCUUUUCUACUCUACUCCUUCUUCUUCUUCACCACCACCACCACCACCACCACCACCAUCUAUCUCCUUCUCUUCCCCUUUACAUCGAAUCCAUCACCAUUGCUUUCCGUGAAGCUAAUUAAAUUAAACCACCAUCAUCUCGAGUUUUUGGGAUUAGUGACUAACGCCAACAAUCCGACAAGUGAUAUCAGAGUCAGAGGUCACGGGUUUGGCUUCUCCCUGUGUUUUGAUUAGUUUGCGAGUUUUGGCACCUUUUGGCUUUUAGUUUGAUAUGUUUUGGCUUUCUUUUAAUUUGCUAUAUAUUCUUGGUUGCAGUUGACCGGUAUAUAUAAACACAAAAGAGUACUGGCUUUUGAGUCUUGGUAGUCAAACUGGCUAGUUCGGAUGCAUGCAGUCAACUCGAUAAGGCGGGCGGCCCCUUAAUUAGACUACGGCAACUAUCAGCAGAAUCUUCUUUCCUUUCUGUCGAUCGCUGAUACACCAAUAAGUUAUGAGUAGGACAAUAUUAUCUCAUUAAUUUCUAUCAAUCGCUGAUACACCAAUAAAUUAUGAGUAGGAGUACAUUAUCUCAUUGAGUUAGUAAUUUUGCAAACUUUUGUCAUUUAAAUUGUGAAUUUUAUGAUCAUAAUAUAUAGCAAGAUAAUUCUUGUGAUAUUAGGCAUACAUAGUAGUCCUCUUAAAUUGCUAUUUUCUGAUAGAUUCUUCAUGAUUCAUGACGGUAUAUCAUUAUGGCAUUAACUGUGCCGAGUAAUACUUUGUUAGUGUGGCACGAGGUUUGUGUUGGCUUAAAUGGGCCAGCAUUUUGUCUUGUGUCGGAAGGCCAUGUUGGGCCAAGUCAUGUUCAAAAUGGCAUGAGGCUAGGUGGGCUGAGUCAUGUUCGAAGUGGUGUGAGGUUGGUUGGACCGAGUCAUAAUCGAGACUCGUGGGCGUUGUAUCUACGCACGCUUUAAGUGAAUUGGUUGUAUAUUUCUAACAGCUCGAUUUUGUGGGAUUAGUGGUUAGCGCCAACAAUCCGACAAGUUGUAUUAAGUCAGAUGUCACGGGUUCGAUUCCCGCAUGCUGCAAAUGUGUCUAGAUGCUGGAGGGAAACUUGUUUGUUUAAAUGGGCCAACAUCCUGCCUUGUGGCGGGAGGUUAUGUUGGACCGAGUUAUGUUCGAGGUUUACAAUCGCCAUGUUGGGAGUCACAAUCGAGAUCCGUGGACGUUGUAUCUAUAUGCUUUAAGUGAAUUGGUUACGUGUUUUUAACAGCUUGAGCUUUUGGAUUAAUGGUUAUGAGUUUAUAUUACAUGAGUCAACCCGGUUGUUUGCGCUGGUGUGUUAUUAAUUAUGACCAUCCUGAUAAACAGCAGAUUAUAUAUAGUUACCCUUGGACACUAGACAUGAGUACUCAUGUAUCUAGGAUGUACAUCUCGAGGAUUGAUGACUAAGCUGGGGACUCAAGAUAGAGUUUUGUAUAGAUAAUAUGCGAUCCAAGAAAAUAAUCCAUUGUUUACCAGAGAUGGCAUGGGUGCAUUAUACAGAGAUUUGGUAUGUGGAGCGGAUAAGUAGAGUAGGAUGCAGUGAGUAGAUGUAUGCUGAGUUUGGUACGUAGGUUGGGAUUAUACCUAACGCUGCCCAGAGUGACAGAGUUAAGCAUAUUCCUAACAUUUGGAUGCCUGAUGGAUUUACCAAGGUAUAUGUAGAACACAGUGGAAGUAUUCGUUUGUACCUUUUUGUGAAAGCGAUUCGCGCUAUCUACAACGCGAUGAGCCGGAUCGGAGGGAUUGAUUUACGUUUCCUUGGAUCGUCCUUGAAAAUCUUAUAACGCCCCGACCUCACGGUGGAUCGAACUACAAAUGAGCACGACCGCAAAUCCACCGUACAAGUCCCUCGAGAAUAAUAGGUUAAUGAAGGAUGUGGUUUCUCUCUCUUUUUUCGGUUCGUUUAUCGUUUUAUGUGGGAUCGCUCGUAUAUUUAUAAGAAAUUCUAAAAUUCUAAUAGCGUAAGAGAUAAGGCCAAAUCGGUUAUUAAUUGUUAUCUUAAUAUGAUUAGAAUUUAUCUCUAAAUAGCUUUCCAAUUUAAAAGCGAGAUUAAUCUUAAUCCAAUUAGAUAACAUAAUAUCCGUCGGAUCGAGCCCGAUUAUGGGCGCACCUGAUUCAAUUUAACCGAAUGCCAACAGUAUAGAAAGAAUCAAAAGGCUAGCAUACAUUAUGUGCGGAUAUUGCGCUAGACUAUGCUUAGGUAAUAUCAACGAGACAAUAUCGAGCAUUGAGCAUGUUAUGAUGAACUAUUCUGGAGCGAUACACAUUAAAUAUGGGAGUGGAAAGUACGAUUUGGAGAUGGUACUGGAUCGAGGUACUAUAUGUGGUAUUGAUGGCGUAUCAGUGAGUCGAUUACUCAAAUUGUGUAGUUAGAGUUUGUGGCCCUGAAAAUCCCAAGUUAUACUGUAUAUGGUACUGAUAUGGAUCGAGAUUGUGUUUUGGAUUGUGAAGUCGAUCGGUUAAGUCGAUGAGUCUUUUUCUAGGGCAUAAGGAAUGCCAAGGUGCCAGUUAUUGAAAAUGGAGCAUAGUCAUGAACUUUUUGGUAUAGUUUGAUAUAAAGCAUUAAUUAAUUGCUGGUUGGUAACUCCUUAAAAUUGUAUUUUUACUUAUUUAGGACUUAUUUUCUAGUAUUUUGCAAGUAGGAUUAAAUAGUAUAGUACACUCAGAUUGGACUAUGGGAUAAAACAACACAGGUAUAGGCAGCUUGCAUUUUAGCUAUAUAUAACUGUUCAUAUUGCACUAACUUAUAUUAUUGAGUAUAUAUGAUUAAAUAUUCUGUGUGCAUGCAGCUCUGAUUUACCCCCCGUUUUUUAUUUUUUUUUAUUUUUUGAGAGAUAGAUAGCACGCUACCCGCUUCGUUUAUUUCAUUUAGAAAUAAAUUUAGCUAGAAAUGUGAAUCAACUAGGAUUCGAAUUUGGGUCUCGGAUACCAAGCAUCAAGCCCGUUGCCACCUGCUUCGUUUUUUUUAUUUACUCCCAGACUUAGUAGAUAUAGAUGUAGGUUUUUCUUAAACCAUACAACUUUAUAGGAUUUAAAUUUUAAAAAAUUAUAUUUGAAUCGUAUAGAGAUUUGGUGACGCCUACUCAAAAUAGGAGGUGGUUCAGAUCGUCACAUAUAGGAGGAAUCCUACACUAUCACACUUACACCACAUCAUCAAUAACAAGCCAAUCAUCUUUUUUCUUUUCAAACAAAAGUACAAUAAAAAUACUUUUUUAUAAUCAUGAUGGGACAUAUAUCUUUAAAAGGAAAUUUUUGAUUGGUUUGUUACGCCAUGUGACCAAUAUACCCGUUGCAUUCUAAAAUUUUUCCACAUAUAGGGAGAUUUGCUUUUAUAUAUAUAUAUAUAUAUAUAUAUAUAUAGGAGUUGUGCUGGUAUGCUUAUGGAAGCACAGAGGUCUCCGUGUUUCCAAGUUGUUUUCGAUGUUCGGACUUUCAAAUCGACAAUCGGCUUCAUUAGAGUUGAUCUAGAGUAUUUGAAGUAUCUAGAAAAUAAAUUUUGCGAUUUUUCGAUAUCAUUUGCCUAGUGAUUAAAGGGGCUCGAAAUCAAUAAUUUUAAUGUCCAUGGUGAGCCGGUUGUAAGUUUAACGGUGUAGAAAUAUUCAAAUCACGUGAAAUUUUGAUAGAAAAUUUUUUGUACUAUAUAAAAUAAGAUCAAUAUCUUUGAUCUAAAUUUUUAAUGUCAUAUCAUCACAUUUUGUAAGAUUUUUAUUUUCAGCCGUUGAUUUUGAGCCCCUUCGAUCACUAGGCAAAUGAUAUCGAAAAAUCACAAAAUUUAUUUUCUAGAUACUUCAAAUACUCUAGAUCAAGUCUAACGGAGCCGAUCGUCGAUUCGAAAGUCCCAACAUCAAAAACAAAUUAGAAGCACGGAGGCCUCCGUGCUUCCAUAAGCAUACUAGCCGCACUCUAGAUAUAGAUAGUCUUUACUACUAAUCAAAAUUUUUAAAUUUACCUUUUAUUUUGCAAAAUACCUUUCUAAACCCAAAUCACAUUCCUAAACCUUAAUUAGGAGUAGGGGUAUAUUUGGAGAAAUUCUCUAUAAUUCAUCAACAAGCACAUUUUGAUCAACCUAUAUAUUGUAUAUUAAAUAUUUUGAAAGUUUUGAAGGACAUGUUAGAUAUUAUCCAAUUUAUACAAUAAUUAAUUAAACAAUGAAAUCCUAGCUUUUUUAAAAGGAUAAUAAUCGAGUUGUUUUAUUAUAUAUUCUUCAUGUCAAAUUAAGUCAAUUAAAAAUAGCACUUCAUCAUCUUUGUUGUCUCGUACCAUGGCUUACAUGAUUUAAAUAUAGAUUUUGGAGACCAAAAUGUUUUCCAAAAGAGAUAUGCAAGUUCUUUACAUAGGAUUAAGAAAUACUUGCAUAAAUUUAGAGGCAAUGUUGGUUAUUUAUUAUGUGGACUAUAUAUAUUAGGUGUUAUUUCCAUUUGAUUUUACAAAUAAAAGCAAUAACGUACGUAGAAGUUCAGGACCUCAAAUAUAAUUAAUCCUUUCCACUGUCAACUUUUCUUUAAUCUCAGCACAUCCAUUAGGCUUUGUUAUUAAAAAAGUAAAAAUCUGAUACGACUGUGAAAUUCCGAUAAUCCUACAUUCGAUGGAAACAGAAUUAUAAUUAAAUAUAUAAGAGAUUAUAUAUUCUAAUAAUAAUAACUGAAUUUAAUAAUUUUGUGAUAGUUUAGGCCCAAUAAAGUCUUAUUAUUGUUACUAGUGAGCCGGAUUAAUGCUACGUCGACAUGCUGAAUAGAGAAUACAAUUGGUGGUAUAGCACUAUAUGCUAUUGGAAGUAUUUAAAAUUAAAAAUAAAAAUUUUAUUAAAAAAAUAAUAAAAGACUUAAAUUUCAAAUUGAAGGUACUUUCUGGCUCUAAAUAGUAAAAAGACUGUUUUACACAGUUAAAUUUACAACUACAUCACAUCGGUCAUUAAAAUUGUAUUGAGAAAUUUUUAUUAGGAGUCUAUUGAUUUAUAUAUAUAUAUAUAUAUAUAUAUAUAUAUAUAUAUAUAUAUAUAUAUAUAUAUAUAUAUAUAUAUAUAUAUNAAUAAUAUAUAUUCAAUCGUGCCAAUUUGGAUGUACUAUUAUUAAAAAUAACUUAAUAGUAUGAAAGAUAUACUACUGAUAGUAUGCAAAUCUGACUUGUCUACCGAAAAUAACUUUUCUUUUUUUUUUGAGAGAAAGGUAACAUGUUACUUGCUUCAUUCAUUGGAAGGAUGAACAAAUUAGCUACAGGGGUGAGGCAACUUAGACCUCGAAGAGCAUGCCAUUAAAAAAAUAAAAAAAUAAAAAAAAAAAAAACACUAACUACUGCUUCUGAGAUGAGAUAUGUUGCUCUCACAGGUUCAACAGCUGUUUAAUCCUGUAAACUGCACGUGUAGGGUCCGGCUAAACCUGACGAAAGAUAGCCUCGUUCCGGAUCAUCCAAAUAACCCACCAGCAGGCUAUAAGACCAGUCAGUCUGGUACGCAAAGUCUGGGGGCUACUUCUGGCAAUCCACCUAUCACAUACUAAAAUAACUUGAUUGUACCAAACGUAUACUACCGUCAGUAUACAAGCUUGCAGACUCACAACCUAUAACAAAUGAGUUAGCCAGUUAGGUGGGCUUGGAAGGUUAGGGUUUUUUUUUUUUUUUUUGGAAAAACUUCAAAUACACCCCUUUGGUUUCGCAGUUUCUCACUUUAGUACCCUAUGGUUUAAAAUGUAUCAAAUUAGUAUCAUGUGGUUUUGCACUUUCUCACUUUAGUAUCUUAUACUGUAAAAUGUAUCAAGUUAAUACUCUGUGGUUUCAUUUUUGUAUCAAAUUAGUAUCCUGUGGUUUUAUUUUUUUUUUUUUAUUAUUCAUUUCGAGGUAUGUUUUUCGUUGAAUCAGUGAUAAAGUUAAAACUAAAGGAUACUAAAAUAAAUAUUCGAUAAACCUAGGUAGAGUAUCUGAAGUUUUUUUGUAUAUAAUUUAAUGAAAUAUUAAACCAUAGGAUACUAAAUUGAGAAAGUGCGAAACCAUAGGGUACUAACUUUAUACACUUUAAAUCACAGGAUACUAAAGUGAGAAAGUGCGAAACCAAAGGAUACUAACUUGAUACAAUUUAAAUCAAAGGGUACUAAAAUGAAAAAAUGUAAAAUCACAGGUGAGGAUUUUAGAGGAACUAAUAACACAGUUAUGUUUUGGUUCGAGUACGAAUAUAUCAAACUUUUUAGUUUUGAGUUCGAAAUCACUAUAAUAGAAUUAGGUUGUAAAGACAUAUUUUUGAUACACUUUUAUAUAAUUGUUUUAUUUAUACUAAAUUUUUUUUAAAAAAUUUACUAAGUCCUAAAUAUAAAACACAAUCUAAUUAAAAAUAAAAGUUCCUCUACUCAACCAAUCCCAUCCAAUCCACUCGGCCCGAUUACAAAUAAAAAAGAAAAAAAAAAGAAAAAUUGAUCACCAUCUUUCCUUCUCCUUUUCCGCCGCUACAGCCGACGAAAUAGGGUUUCGGCGGCUGGAGUUCGGCCGCGAGGGUUUUGUAGGGAUCGUAGAGAUUAUGAUCACCACGUGUUCCUCCACCACAGCUCACUAGAGAAGUGGAUGCCAAACAUCAAGGUGGCCCUACAUAUAGCAACCCUAUAUAUAGCAACACUUUUAAAAGUGUCGGUAAUUUAACCAGCAGCACUUUUUAUGAUCGGUACGUAACGAUAUUUAAAAGUGUCAUUAUACACUGUUUUUAUUAUAGUGAAUUAGCUUCAUUUAACUCUAAUUAUUAUGGUGUUGGGUUUCAUUUGAAGAAGUUUGUUCCUGGAUUGGGAUUUGAGAAACCGCGUUUUCCAUUUUCCCCCCAAUUAAUGUAUGAAAAUGAAAUGGCCUGUGUUAUUUCUCAUUCAACGCUGCACAUUCAUGUCUGGAGCCGAUGACAUUGAUUUUAAUAAUAAUAAAAAAUAGAAAAAAAAAAAGAGGAAACCAAUUAUACUAAGAGCCUAAUAUCAUUCGAAUUUCUAUAAAAUAACUAUUAUUCUCUAACAUAUAUUUUUAAAUUUAUUUUCACUACAAUAAAAUUAAGUUAUAGAAACAUAUUUUUAGGACACUUUUAUAUAAAUGUUGCAUUUAUAUCAAAUUUUUUUUAAAAAAAUUAUUAAGACCUAAAUAUAAAACACAAUCGAAUAAAAAACAAAAAGUUUCUCUAGUUAACCAACCACGCCUAGUCCACUCGGCCCGAUUACAAAUAAAAAAGAAAAAAAAAAUAAUCACCAUCUCCCCUUCUCCUCUUCCGCAGCUGCAGCCGAUAUCGGUAGAAAAAGUAAAGUGAUUUUUCAGCAACAUUUAUUUCAUUUAAAAACAAAGAUUAUAAAAAACUAUUUUAUAAUGUUUUUCUUAUAGAUAUAUUAUUUUAUUUACAUGUACUAAUUAUUAUCCUACAUUUGUUGUUACUAUAAUUUAUAUUUGUGAAUUAAUUAAAUGCAUUCAAGAUAAGUAUGUAUUAUAAUAUGUAGAGUGGUACAUAUUCAUUACUAUAUAUAUAUAUAUAUAUAAUAUUUUAAUAUAUUUUAAUAUAGCCCGUAAGGUAUACAUCCAAAGUUUUCAUUUUUUUCCGUCGGAAAAUAAUGGAAAAGAAAAACUUGCGUUUCUCUUGCAAAUUCGUAAAAAUAGUGUUACAAAUAAUUUAUUUUAUAUGGAAUCAAACAAGUGGAAAAAUAUUUUCAUACAUCAAAAAAAAUUUUAAUUUAGAACUUCUACUAAUGUUGUAAAGAAAAUUUGUUGGAAUAAAUAAUUAGCAUGACAAUGAGUAAGGUCACUAUACUAUUAUACUGUUAUUAGUAUAGAAACUUUUGUGCUCACGAUAAAGAAUAAGACUUGUGUCAAAAAAUUACGUACAGUCACUACAAGAAAAGGCGAUGAGAGAGGCGAUUUUUAGUUGUUGUAGAGGCGGUUUAAACCGCAUCUAUGAUUUGUAGAGGCGGUUUCUGCAAUCGCCUCUAGACUGCCGGCGUAGACAGCGCCUCUAUAAUGUAGAGGCAGUUUGAGCGACCGCUGGGGGAGCUUAUAGACGAUUCUACAGAGGCGGUUUAGACCACCUCUACAAAUUUAUUUAUUUUAUUUAAUAAUUUUUAUUUAUUUAGCAAUAAUAUAAAGACGGUUUAAACCGCCGCUACAAAUAUUAUUCUGUAAAGGUGGUUUCAACCGCCUCUAUAGGUAAAAAGCAUGUUAUUAUAUAGAGGCGGUUCAAACCGCCUCUACAUGAAAAAUAUCAUAACAAUUUUAUUAAAAUAAUUAAUUUAGAUUACAUUUUAUGAGCAAAAAAUUAAAAGUUUAUUAAAAACAUAUAGUAGCAAUACAAAAAAGGGAAAACUUCAAAAAUUCCCCUGUGGUUUCGUAGUUUCUCACUUUGCCCCCCUGUGGUUUAAAAUGUAUCAAUUUGCCUUCCUGUGAUUUUGUUUUUAUUUUUUCGGUAGUUUUUUCGUUAAUAUUUCAUUAAAUUAUAUACAAAAAAUUUCAGAUAUCUAUCUAGAUUUAUCAAAUACUCACUUUAGUACCCUUUAAUUUUAACUUUAUCACUAAUUUAAAAAAAAAAUUGAUUAAAAAAAGAGAAAAAAGAAACCACAGGGAGGCAAAGUGAGAAACUACGAAACCACAGGAUAGAUUUUUAAAGUUUUCCCUACAAAAAAUAACACAAUUCUCAACGAGAAACAAUACAAUUUUUUAACAUUAUUAAAAAUUUUAUUAUUCAACAUAAUAUGUAAACCAAAUACAUAAUCUCAUCCAACGUCUAUACAUUUGAAUUUUCAAUAGUCUGUAAAAUUUAAACAGUUCUGCAAUAUUCUUCCGUUGUAAGCUCAUGACUUGCAUUCGAGAAGUGAUUGUUUGGAGAUGAGUCAUUCAGAUUAUUACCACGCGCAACUUGAAAAGUAUUGAGGAAUAUAAAAUUCAAUUACUGCAAAGGCACCAAUAAAUAUCAUAUUGCACCAAUUAACAAAAAUACUAAUAAUUUAGAAAAUUGACAACUAAUUUGAAAAAGUUAUUUCUUUGAAGAAAAAAUUGAAACUCUUUCAAUCAACAGAUUAAACAAAAUCAAUAAUUAGCAAAUUAGUCAAAAAGCUUCUAUAAUUAGAAUCAAAGAAGCAUGCUCAAGCUGUAACUAAAUCCCAGAAGUUUUACUCAAUAGUUUUAAUGGAUAAAUCAAAAUCCUCAACAAGAUCCUUUCACAUAGAGGUCCCAAUUAGUUAAUAUGUAUAGGAUAAUCAAAUAGUUUCUGAAAACAAUACAGAAAAAGGACUAUGACUAAAACGUAAAACUAUAAACAUACUGACCCUGUAGAAAGUGAAGCUAUAUCAAAUGCUCCACAUCUUAUACUAUUUCAAAUGCCCACAUCAUAUGUAACUAUAUAAAUUCGAUUAAGUGAGUAUAAAAUGGAUAGUCAAAAUAAUCUCUUAAAAGUAGAAAAUAAGACUUUUAAAGUCAAGAUUAGAGUUAUUAUUCUCGAUCUCUAUAGUAAAUAGAAUUUUUUUAUUAAAAGUUCAACUGAUUCUGAUAUUUCUACACUGUUAACUCAGAAAUGCUUCAUAUCGGCCAUUAAAGAUGCCGAUUUUGAGGCCCUUUGAUCGUAAGAUAUAUUAUGUCAAAAAAUUAUAAAAUUUAAUUUUUUUAGAAUAUUUAAAUAUGCUAAAUUAUAUAAUGAUAUGGAUCGACAAUAUAAAAUUUAUAUUAUGAAAAGUAAUUUAUAAGUACAAAAAUGAUUGUACUUAUAAUAGUAUAGAAAACAGGUUUUUCCAUAACAAGUUACUUGAUCUACAAGUGAACUCCCAAUAAUGUUUUUAUCAAACAGUAGUAUAUCUAUGGACAUACUCUUAUAUGUCACAUUAUAGCAAUUAAUGUCCGAUCCACAGUAAAACGACCGUACUGUAGAGGUUAUAUUAUAUAUAUAUAUAUAUAUAUAUGUAUAUAUAUAUAUAUAUAUAUGUAUAUAAUAUAUAUAUAUAUAUAUGUAUAUUAUAUAUAUAACACACACACAAAAAAUCAAAAUACAGAAAGUUUGCAUUUUAGAGUUUUUUUUUCUCUAACAUGAUAAAAUAAUGGUAAAUCGGAUCAACAAGAAUGUUUUUUUUUGGGGGGGGGGGGGGGAAUUACUUAUAUAUAUAUCUUUAAAAAUUUUCGACUUUCUAAUUUAUUUUUUAAAAUCUAAUAUUAAAAAUAUUUUUUUACGUUCCAAUCUAUUUCUAAUAUAUAUUAUAUAUUAUAUAAGAGUUGAGACUGGGCUACUAUUAGUGUAAAAUUUCAUUUUGCUAUCAGUUUUUUAACCUUUGGAUCAACUCUUUUCGUCAUUUCUAACCAUUGGAUUAAAUACUAUAACCCAGUGGGGACCACAUCAACCCUAGGGGGACCACUAAACUCUAACUGAUAAUAUCAUCCUAACCUACAAUUUUUCAUCCAAGGAUUAAAAACUUGAUAGCAAAAAGAGAGUUUUACUAUUAAUAGUAUUCCAGUCUAAUUCUAUAUAUAUAUUAUAUAAUAUAUAUAUAUAUAUAUAUAUAUAUAUAUAUAUAUAUAUAUAUUUUGAGAGAUAGGUAGCAUGCUACCCGCUUCGUUUAUUUCAUUUAGAAAUAAACUUAGCUAGAAUAUAUCCCUAGAGUUAAAAUCUAUUAAUAAACUCUGUUAUUUCUAUGAAAUUACUAUUUUGUCCUUUCAAUUAUACUUUUCUAUCAUCACCGACUUUUUUUUAUUUCUUCUUAAGUUAGUGACACAAAAAGUAUUUUAUUUUUUAAUCUUUUCAAAUAUAUUUUUCUACCAUCACCAACAUUUUUUAUUUGCCCUUAAGUUAAGGACAAAUGUGGUAUUUUAUUUUUUUUAGCUAUGGUAGAUAUUUAAUUUGCGUUUAACUCAAGUUAACUUAACGGGUGGUAACUAUAGGGAUAUUUUGAAAUAACGGAAUAUAUGAGGAUAUAUUGGAAAGAAAAAAAAUUAGGGGUAAAUGAGAUAUUUUCGAAGUUUUGAGGGGUAUAUAGAUAAUUAUCCUUUUUUUUUUGUGGCAUUGCACUUCAAAUAAUCCCAGAGAUAGAAACGUACAAAAUUUUUCGGAACUAUAAAUUAUUUUGAUUCUUUUAAAAUUUUGAUUUUACUAUCCAACAUUUUAACUUGUUUGAUAUGAGCCAGUCAACAAUACUUUAAUUUUAAAACUUAAAUACGGUUGUUUAUCUUAAUAGGUUUUCUUAGUAUUCUAAACGCAAUUCUCGCCGCUAGAAAUUUAUUUAUAUAAAUAGUUAGUAUAGAUUUUGAUGUUAAGCAAAUUAAAAUGUUGGAUAUAUAUGGCCAAUUUGCAUAAAACAUCCAUAAUUUUUAAGCUUUUGCAAAACUGGACCGCCUUUUUUGAUUUUACAGAUUCGGUCCGAAUUUUCAGCAAACUGACCAAAAUACCUUUAUUAUUUUUUCUCUCUCCUCUUUCUCUCUCAUUUUUUUUUUCUCUCGUUUAUUUUUUUUUUUUUCUCUCGCCGAAGAAAGUAGCGAAGGCGGAGGCGCCUCUCACCCUCAUGCUCUCGCCCUUGCCCUCACCCGCGCACCCCCCACCUUCCUCACCUUCGACCCCGCCGAGGCCAAACCACGACUCUUUUUUUUUUUUUUUUCCUCUCCGACUCUCUUCCAUCGCCUCCGACGACGAUGUCUCUCUCGCCCUUCCCGGCCCUUCUUGUCCUCUUCCUCUCUCUCCUCCUCUGCCGCCUCCGACGACGACGCAUCUUUGCCGACGCCGACGCCGACAUGGUGGAGGUCGCUGUGGCGCUGCAACCUCGGAGCGGGGGGUCCUUAGCGGCGGCAUCGCCGGCACCGUGGCCGUUGGUAGAGAGGGAUGACCAAAAAAAAUUAUAGAGGAACUAAAAAAAAAAUAAAGAUAAAGAAUUAUAGAAAAAGAAAGAUGAAGGCGAAAUUGCACCGUUAAAAAAAUGUUGCACUAUUAUGGACAUAAGUUGCACUACUUAAGAUGUAAACUGCAGUUUUAAAAUAAAAAUUACACUCUUUAAACAAAAAAUACACUCUUUGAUAGAUAUUUACAGUGUUUCUCCUCUUAUUGCACUCUUUCAGAUGUAAACUGCAUCUAUUAAGAUAAAAGUUAUACUUUUUAAACGAAAGUUGCACUAUUUGAGAGAUAUUUAUACUAUUUUUUCUCUUCAUGCACUCUUUGAGAUAUAAACUAUACCCAUUUAAGAGAUAUUUAUACUGUUUCUCCUUUUGUUGCACUGUUUUUUCUUUUAUUGUACUAUUUCUUCUCUUAUUAUACUGUUUCUCCUCUUAAAGGGUACAGUUUAAGAUAAGAAACAGUGUAACAAGAGGAAAAAUAGUGCAACAUGAGGAGAAACAGUGUAAUAAGAGGAGAAACAAUAUAAAUAUCUCUUAAAUGGAUGUAGUUUAAAUCUCAAAGAGUGCAACAAGAUGCGAAACAAUGUAAAUACCUAUCAAAGAGUGCAACUUUCGUUUAAAGAAUGUAAUUUUCAUCUUAAUUGAUGCAGUUUACAUCUAAAAGAGUGCAAUAAGAGGAGAAACAGUUUAAAUAUCUUUCAAAAAAUAUAAUUUUCGUUUAAAGAGUAUAAUUUUCAUCUUAAAACUGCAGUUUACAUCUUAAAUAGUGCAACUUAUAUCCAUAAUAGUGUAACGUUCUUUUAAAAUAGUACAAUUUAUUUUAAAGGUGUAAUAUCAUCUUCAUCUUUAUUUUUCUAUAAUUUUUUAUCUUUAUUUUUUUUAUUUUUUUUAUUAUUUUUUUUUGUUAUCUCUCUCUUCCAACAGCCACGACGCCAGCGACGACGCCACUAAGAACCCCUCGUUCUAAGGUUGCAGUGCUACAACAAUCUCCACAGUACCGGCGUGACGAAAAUGCGUCGUUGUUGGAGGCGGAAGAAGAGUUGGGAGAGGCAGAGGACGAGAAUGGCGGGGAAGGGUGAGCGAGACGUUGUCGGAGAUGGUAGAGGAGAGUCGAAGAGGAAAAAAAAUAGAGUCGCGGUGCGGCCUCGGCCGGGUCGGAGGUGAGGAAGGUGGGGAGUGCGCGGGCGAGGGCGAGGGCGAGGGCGAGGGCGAGGGCGAGAGGGUGAGAGGCGAGGCGGACCGUUUUCGCUUCUGCCUCUGCCUCCACCGUCUCUUUGGCGAGAGAAAAAAAAAUGAACGAGAGAAAAAAAAUGGAGAGAGAAAGAGGAGAGAGAAAGAGGAGAGAGAAAAAGUAAUAAGGAUAUUUUGGUCAGUUUGCUGAAAAUCCGGUCCGAAUCUGCAAAAUCGAAAAAAAAUGGCCCACUUUUGCAAAAGCCCAAAACUAGUGGAAUUUUUAUGCAAAUUGGCCGAUAUAUAUAGUGAAACCUAAAUAAUUCAUAAUUCAGAUAAGUUUUAUGCAUUUUUAAUUUUUACUUAACUUUAUAAAAGCUAAAUUACAUAAACCCUCAUGUCAAAAUUUGAUUUUUCACUUUUCUUUCCUGUCAUUUAAAAAUCUACACUUUAUCCUCUUAUAAAGUAAAAAAUGAUCACAGAGUAUGGUGUAAAUUGUGAUGACAAAAUAACCAUUUUGCCUCUCAUAAUUUUUGGCAACAGGAGAGAAGGUUGAAAGUAUUUUUUGCAUAAAAAAAUAUAUAAUGACAUUUUAUAAACGGAAUCCUAACGGAUCACUAACGGCACAGGGUGAAGUGAACAAUUUUUAUUUUACAAGAAAAAAAGUAUAGAUUUUUAAAUAACAGAGGAGGAAGGCGAAAAAUUAAAUUUUGACAGAAAGAUUCUCUAUAAUUUAACCUUUUACAAAAGAUAUUUCAUAAAUCUUUAAUUUUUUUUUUUUUUUUAUCUUCUUUAACUAAUAUGAAAUAUCAAGACGAAUGAACUUCAGACUAUCGAAUCAAAAAAUUAAACGAGAAACAGCCCACGCCGACAAGGAGAAAGAGGAGAGCUGUCGCCAUUACGAACUACAGUGCGAGUCCGCAGUCCGCAAAGACGGGCGGAGGGAACUCUAUCCGGACGGCGAGAGGGGCCCACCGGGGGGACAGAGAGGACGUUGACCUGGCGGUGAGGGCUGCCAGCACAUGCCACGUCCACCCACUCCCCGGCCGACACCAACUCCGCCAACCCACUCUCUCCUUCCAAUGACAGCUGGCACUCCUACCAUGAGGGACACACCCCCUUGUACUACUAUAAUUGCUCCUUGUCUUUAUAUAAAAAAAAAAAAUGUGGAUAAAUUUUAAAUACCAUCACAUAGUUUCAUAAUUUUUUAUUUUAAUAUUCUAUAAUUUAAAAUAUAUUAAUUUAAUAUUUUAUGAUUUUAUUUUUUUACUUUCGUCAUCUCUCUGUUUAUUUUUUGUUAAAUGUAUUCUUUAAAUUACAGGGUACUAAAGUCAGAAAGUAUGAAACCAAUUGGAUGGUAUUUGAAUUUUUUUCAAUAUAUAUAUAUAUAUUAUAUAAUAUACAAGAUCGCUGCUAUGCUAUUAAUAGAUUAAGCCUUUGUGCUACGGAAGUUUUCCGCCGUUUUAAAUCUAUUUUUUCAAUUUUUCACAGGUUACGAUCAUAUUAUUCAACCAAGCCCCUCGACUCAACCAGGGCUCAACAUAUCUAACCGUACAUCUCUUAUCGCAAUGGAUCAAACAUUAGUAGCACCAUGAUGGUGCUAUAAUAAGUAUAUUAUCCUAGUUUAUAUAUAAUAUUAUAUAUAUAUAUAUAUAAUAUAUAUUAUAUAUAUAUUAUAUUAUAAUAAAGGCUAGGGCUACUAUACUCUUAUGAGUAUAGGCUCCCUUGUACUCAUAAAUUUUUAACCGUUGAUUGAUGGGAUGUGUGGUUAGGAUGAUGAUAGUCCCCACUUAAAAUGAUAGUGGUCCCCCAGGGUUGAGUGGGUAGUUGGUUGAAUAGUAUGAUCUAACGGAUGGAAAUGAUCAGUGGAAUAAAUUUAAGGGCCAAAAACUUAUGAGUAUAAAGGAGUCAAUACUUAUAAAAGUAUAAUAGCCGGACUCUAUAUAUAUAUAUACACACACAGAACUUAUCUAAACUAUAUAUUAUUUUUAAUCGACUAUCUAAUUUUUCAAUUAGUUUGAUUCGAGUCAGUCGACAAUACUUUGACAAAAAUUGUAUGAAGUAUGCUAAUUAAAUCUGUAAAAAAAAUUUGAUGCAUUCAAAUUCUAAAGUUAGAGUAUUAUCGACCAACUAAAAUCAAAUAAAUUAAAAUUGAAAUUGAACUUAUGAAAGGUUGGAUAGCAGAUACAAAAUAAUUCAUAGUUCAGGUGUAAGUUUUUUAAGUCUUUACCCUGUAUAUAUUUAUCCCAAUACAAUUUUAUAUUAUAUGGAAUAAUUGUAGAGUAUGGAUCAAAUUAUAUGUGUAAAUUACACAAAUUUCUACACUAGUAUAAUUCAAAUCCAGAGGAUUUAAAAUUAAGAUCUAAACCAUUAAAUAUGAUCAAGAAUAUUUAAAAUAUACAUAGAUGUAAAGUUUAAUAUAUUUUGAAAAUCAAUUUUUUAUUCAUCAGGCAUUAAAAUCAAUGAUCCGGAUUGAAAUUUCAAGGUAUAGGUUUUCAAAAAUUAUAAUUUUUGUUAUAGGUCUUCUUUAUGUUGUAAAUCAUUUUUGGCUGUUCAGAUCUUUAUUUUGAAACUUUUAUGAUUGAAAUUUAGCUAGUGUAUUUAUUGUGUAACUUGAAAUGUAAUGUGAACCAUAUAUAUAUAGGCUGGCAUAUGAGCGAGCCAGCUCGUGUUCGACUCGUGUUCGGCUUGAUAUUUGGCUCGCUCGAGCUCGGCUCGAAUUAAUUUCAAGCAAGCUUGAGCCUAAAUUUAGGCUCGAAAUUAAUUUCAAGCCGAGCUUGAGUAUUACUCGGCUCGCUCGAAUUAAGCUCGAAAAGCUCGAAAUAUAUAUAUAGUAUAGUAGCCUAAUUNCUAGAAGUUUUAAAUGCUGUAAAUAACGUUUAACGGUGUAGAUCGUCGAUUCGGAAGCUCUAUCAUCGAAAACAACUUAUGAGUACGAGGGCGAUCGUACUCAUAAUAGUAUAGUAGCCUGACCCUCUCUCUCUCUCUCUCUCUAUAUAUAUAUAUAUAUAGAGUUGAGCUGGAAUGCUAUCGGUAGCAAACGGGCUCCGUUGCCACCCAUUUGUUUUCGAUGAUGGAGCUUUCAAAUCGACAAUUGGCACCGUUGAACAUGAUUUAUAUUACUUGAAGUAUCAGAAAUCAAAUUUUAAAUCUUUUUGACAUCAUUUACCUAAUGAUCAAAGAGUUUCAAAAUUUAUAAUUUUAAUGGUUGAAAUGAGGGGUUUUUUCGUUUAACGGUGUAAAGCUAUCCAAAUCAAUUAAAUUUUGGUUAGAAAAUUCUAUAAACUAUUUCGAACAAGAUCUAUACUCUCGAUCAUAAUUACAAAAUUUCUAUCAUCACUUUUUAGAGGAUAUUCACUUUCAACUAUUUAUUUUUACGCCCACUUGAUGGACAAGAAAAUAAUAUCGAAAAAGUAUAAAAUUUGAUUUCUAGAUACUUCAAGUGGUAUAGAUCAUUUUCAACGGUGCCGAUCGUCGAUUUGGAGGUUUCAUCAUAAAAAAUAAAUGGGUGGCAACGGAGCCUGUUUGCUACCGAUAGUAUUCCAGCCGAACUAUAUAUAUAUAUAUAUAUAUAGUCUAUUAUACUAUUAAUAGUACCAACUACUUGCUAUUAGGUUUUCGGCCUUUGGAUGAAGGGAUGUGCGGUUAGAAUGAUAGUGAUCCCUUAGGGUUGAGUGGGUGGUUAGUUGAAUAAUAUGAUCUAACGGGUGAAAAUGGUCAAAAAGGUAGAUCUAACGGCACACAAUUCGAUAGCACCAAGCAUUUGGUACUAUAUAUUGAUAAUAUAGUAGCCGGACUCUAUCUCUCUCUCUCUCUUUCUCUAUAUAUAUAUAUAGUCCGGCUACUAUACUAUCUAUACUAUUGAUAGUACUAAGCGCUUUGUACUAUUAAGUUUUCUGCCGUUAGAUUUGCCUAUAUAUGUACAGAGUUCGGCUAUUAUACUAUCGAUAGUACCAAGCAUUUGGUGCUAUCGAGUUUUCUGCUGUUAGAUAUUUACCUUUGGCCAUUUUCAUCUGUUAGAUCAUACUAUUCAACUAGUCACCCACUCAACCCUAGGGGGCUACUAUCGUCCUUACCGCACAUCCCUUAAUCCAAAGGCUGAAAACCUAAUAGCAAGCGAUUUGUAUUAUUAAUAGUAUAAUUGCCUAAUUCUAUAUAUAUAGGCUCGGGUUACUAUACUCUUAUAAGUAUAGACUUUUUUAUACUUAUAAAUUUUCAACCGUUGGAUGUGCGAUUAGAAUGAUAGUGGUCCCCUAAGAUUGAAUGGGUGGUUCGUUGAAUAGUAUGAUUUAGCGGAUGAAAAUAGUCAAAAGGAUAUAAAUCUAACGGUCGAAAACUUAUGAGUAUAAAGGGGUUUAUAUUCAUAAAAGUAUAUAUAGUAGCCGAACUCUCUCUCUCUCUCUCUCUCUCUCUCUCUCUCUAUAUAUAUAUAUAUAUAUAUAUAUAUAAUAUAUAUUUUAAUUAUAUAAAAUAAUAUAUAUUAUGUAUUUUAAUUAUGUGUAUAUAGAAUUUAGAUUAUUGGGCCCACAAAACCAAANNNNNNNNNNNNNNNNNNNNNNNNNNNNNNNNNNNNNNNNNNNNNNNNNNNNNNNNNNNNNNNNNNNNNNNNNNNNNNNNNNNNNNNNNNNNNNNNNNNNNNNNNNNNNNNNNNNNNNNNNNNNNNNNNNNNNNNNNNNNNNNNNNNNNNNNNNNNNNNNNNNNNNNNNNNNNNNNNNNNNNNNNNNNNNNNNNNNNNNNNNNNNNNNNNNNNNNNNNNNNNNNNNNNNNNNNNNNNNNNNNNNNNNNNNNNNNNNNNNNNNNNNNNNNNNNNNNNNNNNNNNNNNNNNNNNNNNNNNNNNNNNNNNNNNNNNNNNNNNNNNNNNNNNNNNNNNNNNNNNNNNNNNNNNNNNNNNNNNNNNNNNNNNNNNNNNNNNNNNNNNNNNNNNNNNNNNNNNNNNNNNNNNNNNNNNNNNNNNNNNNNNNNNNNNNNNNNNNNNNNNNNNNNNNNNNNNNNNNNNNNNNNNNNNNNNNNNNNNNNNNNNNNNNNNNNNNNNNNNNNNNNNNNNNNNNNNNNNNNNNNNNNNNNNNNNNNNNNNNNNNNNNNNNNNNNNNNNNNNNNNNNNNNNNNNNNNNNNNNNNNNNNNNNNNNNNNNNNNNNNNNNNNNNNNNNNNNNNNNNNNNNNNNNNNNNNNNNNNNNNNNNNNNNNNNNNNNNNNNNNNNNNNNNNNNNNNNNNNNNNNNNNNNNNNNNNNNNNNNNNNNNNNNNNNNNNNNNNNNNNNNNNNNNNNNNNNNNNNNNNNNNNNNNNNNNNNNNNNNNNNNNNNNNNNNNNNNNNNNNNNNNNNNNNNNNNNNNNNNNNNNNNNNNNNNNNNNNNNNNNNNNNNNNNNNNNNNNNNNNNNNNNNNNNNNNNNNNNNNNNNNNNNNNNNNNNNNNNNNNNNNNNNNNNNNNNNNNNNNNNNNNNNNNNNNNNNNNNNNNNNNNNNNNNNNNNNNNNNNNNNNNNNNNNNNNNNNNNNNNNNNNNNNNNNNNNNNNNNNNNNNNNNNNNNNNNNNNNNNNNNNNNNNNNNNNNNNNNNNNNNNNNNNNNNNNNNNNNNNNNNNNNNNNNNNNNNNNNNNNNNNNNNNNNNNNNNNNNNNNNNNNNNNNNNNNNNNNNNNNNNNNNNNNNNNNNNNNNNNNNNNNNNNNNNNNNNNNNNNNNNNNNNNNNNNNNNNNNNNNNNNNNNNNNNNNNNNNNNNNNNNNNNNNNNNNNNNNNNNNNNNNNNNNNNNNNNNNNNNNNNNNNNNNNNNNNNNNNNNNNNNNNNNNNNNNNNNNNNNNNNNNNNNNNNNNNNNNNNNNNNNNNNNNNNNNNNNNNNNNNNNNNNNNNNNNNNNNNNNNNNNNNNNNNNNNNNNNNNNNNNNNNNNNNNNNNNNNNNNNNNNNNNNNNNNNNNNNNNNNNNNNNNNNNNNNNNNNNNNNNNNNNNNNNNNNNNNNNNNNNNNNNNNNNNNNNNNNNNNNNNNNNNNNNNNNNNNNNNNNNNNNNNNNNNNNNNNNNNNNNNNNNNNNNNNNNNNNNNNNNNNNNNNNNNNNNNNNNNNNNNNNNNNNNNNNNNNNNNNNNNNNNNNNNNNNNNNNNNNNNNNNNNNNNNNNNNNNNNNNNNNNNNNNNNNNNNNNNNNNNNNNNNNNNNNNNNNNNNNNNNNNNNNNNNNNNNNNNNNNNNNNNNNNNNNNNNNNNNNNNNNNNNNNNNNNNNNNNNNNNNNNNNNNNNNNNNNNNNNNNNNNNNNNNNNNNNNNNNNNNNNNNNNNNNNNNNNNNNNNNNNNNNNNNNNNNNNNNNNNNNNNNNNNNNNNNNNNNNNNNNNNNNNNNNNNNNNNNNNNNNNNNNNNNNNNNNNNNNNNNNNNNNNNNNNNNNNNNNNNNNNNNNNNNNNNNNNNNNNNNNNNNNNNNNNNNNNNNNNNNNNNNNNNNNNNNNNNNNNNNNNNNNNNNNNNNNNNNNNNNNNNNNNNNNUGAUGUCGCAAAGAUUUGAAAUUUGAUUUCUAAACACUUCAAGUGGUAUAGAUCAUGUUCAACGGAGCCGAUCGUCAAUUUGGAAGCUCUAUCAUCGAAAACAAAUAGGUAGUAAAACGGCUCGUUUACUACUGAUAGUAUUCUAGCAAAACUCUAUAUAUAUAUAUAUAUUGAUGUCGCAAAGAUUUGAAAUUUGAUUUCUAAACACUUCAAGUGGUAUAGAUCAUGUUCAACGGAGCCGAUCGUCAAUUUGGAAGCUCUAUCAUCGAAAACAAAUAGGUAGUAAAACGACUCGUUUACUACUGAUAGUAUUCUAGCAAAACUCUAUAUAUAUAUAUAUAUAUAUAUAAAAUUGAGCUCCUAUGUUUUUAAAAGUACCAAAUUAUUGGUGCUUGUAGAUUUUUAGCCAUUGGAUUAAGAGAUAUGCGGUUAGGAUGAUGUGGGCCCCCUAGGGUUGAGUGGGUGGUUGGUUGAAUAGUAUAAUCUAAUGGUUGAAAAUGAUCCGAGAGUAGAUCUAACGGUAAAAAACUUACAAGCACCAAAUGCUUGGUGCUUUUACAAGCACCAUAGCUAGACUAUAUAUAUAUAUAUAUAUAUAUAUAUAUAUAUAUAUAUAUAGGUUAAUUUCAUACAUGCCCCAGCAAAUAUAGUAAAUAGCAAAUAUAUCUCUAUAAAGUUCAACUUUCAUAUGUUUUUUUUUUAGAGAUAGGUAGCAUGCUACCCGCUUCGUUUAUUUCAUUAACUUUCAUAUGUUAUUCCUGCAAAAGUCCUGAUAUUUUCAAAUCUGUCUUUGCCGAUAGAAUCCAUUAGAAAAAAUUAGUUAACCAUAGUUAGUUUUUGACAUUUUUACCCCUUUAUAUUAUACUAGUGUGGCUUUCAGAGAGAUAUAUUUGUGAUGGCAAAAUUGAAAAUAUAAACAGUUCUCUAACGGUAACAAACCAAAGGGAUAUAUUUGAAAACAAUAGGGCUUUUGCAGAGACAAUAUAUGAAAGUUGAACUUUUGUAGGGAUAUACUUGUCAUUUGCUAUGUUUGCAGGGACUUGUAUGAAAUUAACCUCUCUCUCUCUCUCUCUAUAUAUAGAAUGUGUGGUUAGGAUGAUGUGGGCCUCCUAGGGUUGAGUGAGUGGUUUGUUGAACAGUAUAAUCUAACGGGUAAAAAAAAACAAAGGGUUAAAUCUAACGGUGGAAAACUCGAUAGCACCAAAUCCUUGGUGCUAUCGAUAGUAUCCCAGCAGGACUCUAUAUAUAGAACUAAGCUAUAAUACUAUUGUAACGACCCAGCCCACUAGCAACAAUAACCCAAUGACAACCCCAUUCCCAUCCGAUGUGGGACUAUUGGGGUGUCACAGACUCCCCCCGUUAAGGCCCUGACGUCCUCGUCAGUCCAAUCACACACACAGCCCAAGAUCACCAGGUGAUGUGAGACUCGUCUCGCUAGCCCGUCAUCCAGACCCUAGCUCAGCCGAAACUCGCCACACAUGUCCAGCUGGUGAACCGGCUCUGAUACCAAAUAUAACGACCCAGCCCACUAGCAACAAUAACUCGUUGGGCCCAGCCAACAGCCCAAAAUGCUUAAGCCCAGUUAUUAUUACUAGUGUCUAAGUCUCUUAUAAACCCAAUGACAACCCCAUUCCCAUCCGAUGUGGGACUAUUGGGGUGUCACAGAAUCCUGGCUCAGCCGAGACUCAUCUCACACUUCCGGCCGAGGGAUGGAGUUUGAAGUGAACUCGCGUUUUCCGCGGCCGCAUCUCUGCGGAAUCUCAGGCCCGGGGACUUUCCAGGGUACGCAUAAACCCGAUCACUUCGUCCCAUGGUUCACUUUUAUUUUACUAUUUGGAAAUCUGAGUUUUCGUUGGUUUUGGAAUAUAAUAAAGGAAUUUGUGCUUUCUUGAAAUGAAAAUGAUUUUCUACCCCUCGUGGUAGCGUUUUGGAAAGAUAAAAGUUCCUGUGUAGGGAACAGUUUUCAAAAGAUUUUCUGUGGAUUUUGUAUCUUAGUAUUUCAAAACCUGUUUAUGUGGUUGGAAACAUUUUAACUGAUAGAUGUGGAUUUAUAUUUAAAUAGCGAAUGUAAACUUGUGAAUCUGUGGUGAAUGGUGUAUGAAUAUAUAUCUGUGGUUGCUUGUAUAUUCAUCUGGUUGUGGUUGUUGUAUGAUUGAACUCUUGUACUUGUGCGACGCCGUGCAAAUACAGGGGAGACUCUGUCGGUGUGAACAGUGGGACUCCUGUAUUUGUGGCGGAUCUGGCACACUCUGGGGUUAGAUUUUCAAAAAAAAAAAAAUUUCAGACGCUUUUCCGCUACCUUUUAAACUAAAAGGGACCCCGGGGCGUGACAACUAUCAAUAGCACUAAGCUGUUGGUGCUAUUAAUUUUUUAACCCUUGUAUUGAGAAAUGUGUGGUUAGGAUAAUGUGGGCCCCCUAGGGUUGAGUGAGUGGUUGGUUGAACAGUAUAAUCUAACGGGUAAAAAUAAAUAAAGGGUUAAAUCUAACGGUGGAAAACUCGAUAGCACCAAAUCCUUGGUGCUAUCGAUAGUAUCCCAGCCGGACUCUAUAUAUAUAUAUAUAUAUAGUUGAGCUAGAAUGCUAUUGGUAGCAAACGGGUUUCGUUGCCAUCCAUUUGUUUUCGAUGAUGAAACCUUCGAAUCAACGAUCGGCACCGUUGUACAUGAUCUAUACCACUUAAAGGAUUUAGAAACCAAAUUUCAAAUCUUUUCGACAUUAUUGACCUAAUAAUCAAAGUGUUUCAAAAUUUAUAAUUUUAAUGGUAGAUAUAAGGCGUUUUCUCAUUUAGCGGUGUAAAUCUAUCUAAAUUAAUAGAAUUUUGGUUAGAAAAUUCUUUAAACUAUUUAGAACAAGAUUAUUACUCUCGAUCUUGAUUACAAAAUUUCUAUCUUCACUUUUUAGAGGAUAUUCAUUUUCAGCCAUUCAUUUUUACGUCUACUUAAUGGAUAAAAGAACAAUAUUGAAAAAAGUAUAAAAUUUGAUUUCUAAAUUCUUCAAGUAGUAUAGAUCAUAUUCAAUAGUGCCAAUCAUCAUUUUGGAGGCUCCAUUAUCGAAAACAAAUGCGUGGCAACAGAGCCCGUUUGCUACCGAUAAUAUUCCCGCUCAACUCUCUCUCUCUCUCUCUCUCUCUCUCUCUCUCUCUCUCUCUCUCUCUCUCUAUAUAUAUAUAUAUAUAUAUGAGCAUGUCUCCUGUACUUUCGAAAGUACGGAGGCCUCCGUGUUUGUAAGUUGUUUUCGAUGAUAGGACAUCCGAUUCGACGAUUGGCUCCGUUAGGUAUAAUCUACCUUAUUGGAACUAUCUAAAAACCAAAUUUUAUAAUUUUUGACAUCAUUUACCAAACGAUCAAAAGGUUUCAAAGUGAGUGUUUCAAUGGCCGAUGUGGGACGUUUUUUAGUUCAACGGUGUAGAAGUAUCCAAAUUAUAUGAAAAUUUAAUAGAAAAUUCUAUUUAAUAUCAAUAGCAAGAUCAAUACUUCCGAUUUGAAAUUUGAGUCCUUUAUCAUUAUUUUUUAUAAUUUUUCAAUUUCAGCUAUUCAUUUUGAUGCUACUCAUUCACUAGACAAACAAAGUCAAAAAAUUAUAAAAUUUGGCUUCUAAAUAGUUCAAAUAACAUAGAUUAUGUCUAAUGGAACUGAUCGCUGAAUCAGAUGUCCCAUCAUCGAAAACAACUUAUAAGCACGGAGGCCUCCGUACUUUCGAAAGCAUCGGAGCCUAUAUAUAUAUAUAUAUAUAUAUAUAUAUAUAUAUAUAUAUAUAUGGGUUAUUUGCAUACACGUCCCUGCAAAUAUAGUGAAUUGUAGAAAUAUCCCUGCAAAAUGAAAAUUCCAUAAGUUGUCCCUACAAAAGUCAUAAGUUAUGCAGAUAUGUCCCUGCUGUUAGAGUCUGUUAGAGAAAUUUGGUUAACCACAGUUAAACUACUUAACCACGAUUAGUUAAUAGUGUGCAUUUAUGGUUCUACCAUUCUUCUAAAUCAUUCUCUUCCUUUUCCCUCUUCUUCGUUGCCAGUGAAGAGAUGUGGCGGUGGCGGCUGCGACGGCGGCGAACCCUCUCCCUCUUCCUCUUCCUCUUCCGCUUCCUUUUUCCUCUUCUUCUUCCCCUUUCUUCUUUCUCUCCCUCUUCCUCUUCUCUCUUUUUCGUCGCCGGCGAGGGGGAAGAUGCGGCGGCGGCGGCGGCGAACCCUCUCCCUCUUCCUCUUUCUCUUCCUCUCCCUCUUCUUCUUCGCCCUUCUUCUUCCUCUUCCUUUUUCUCUUCCCUCUUCCUCGUCGCCCGCGAGAGAGGAGAUGCGGCGGCAGCAAACCCUCUCCUUCUUCCUCUUCCCUCUUCCUCUCCCUCUUCCUCUCCUUCUUUCUCUUCCCACUUCUUCUUUCUCUCCUUCUUUCUUUUCCCUCCUCUUCGUCGUCGGCGAACCCAACCCCGCGUCGCCGCCGUUGUCCGCUCUGACAGCCCGAAGAGGAAGAGAAAGAGAAGGGAAAAAUGAUACUUUUGGAGGGAUAUCUUUGUGAGGGCAAAACAAUCAUUUCACAAGAAAACUGUUAAAAAAUAAACAGUUCACUAACGGAUUUUAACCAGAGGGACAUAUCUGCAUAACUUACGACUUUUGCAGGGACAACUUAUGGAAUUUCUGUUUUGCAGUGAUAUUUCUACAAUUCACUAUGUUCGCAGGAACGUGUAUGCAAAUAACCAUAUAUAUAUAUAUAUAUAUAUAAUUGAGUUGGAAUACUUCUAAAAGCACAAAAAGAUUGGUGCUUCUAGAUUUGUAGCCCUUGGAUGGAGGUGUUGUAGGGUUAGGAUGAUAAUAGCCCACUUGGGUUGAGUAGUGGUCGGUGCAAGUAUUUGAUCCAAAGGCUACUGAUAGUCAAAGAAUAGAUCUAAGGACUACAAUCUUAAAAGUACCAAUGAAUUGAUGCUAUUACAUAUAUAUGAAUGAAUGUAUGUAUGUAUGUGUCCGCAAAAUGGGGCUAUUACAUAUCGACUAAAUUGCACGAUUGGUCCUCAAACUAUGAGUUGGGUGGCACUUAGGCCCUCAAACUUUAAUUUGAUUUAAUUUUUUAUUGAAUUUUUAGAAUUAUUGCAAUCGAGUCUUAUAAUUCAAUUUAGUUGACUAGAUAUUAAUGUAUUAUUAAUAUAAAAAUAAUAUAGCAAUAUUGUAACUGAUAAUGCGCAAAUAAUUAAAAUGCUAUAUAUAUCAUUUUCAAAUUAGCAAUCUAUUAAUAUUUAGUCACCUAACUUGUGUUUGGGAAUUAAAAUAUCACCCGUUUUAUAGUUUGAGAACCAAACAUGCAAUUCACCCUUAUAAAUUGAAUCCUCUAAAUUAAUUUUGAACUAUUUUUUAUAUUUUAAAAAUAAGGCUAAAUUACAGAAAACCCCUCUAUAAUAAUCCGCUUUUUCACUUUCCCCCUGACAUUUAAAAAUUUAUACUUUGCCCCCUCUGUAAAAUGAAAAAUGUUCACAGGAGGGUUACGGUGUGUAAAAUGAUCAUUUUGCCCCUCACCAUUGUCGUCUUCUUUCCCAUUUUCCUCAGCCGUCCCUUCGUUCGGCCGCGAUUCCCACCUCAAUUGGCCGCGAUUUCUCUCCAUUUCCUUCUCCUCCUGCACCCUCGCCGCCCUCGAUAUUGGCGAGAGCAGGAGAAGGGCAAAAAAGGCGAAGGCGAGGCGGCGGAGGACGGCGAAGGGGAUGUGGGUGAGGGCCAGGCAGUGGAGGACGGCGAGGCAGCUAGGCGGCGAGGGCGAGGUGGCGAGUCGGAGGGAGUUGAAGCAACAGAGAGAUAGCAGAGGGGUAUUUUCGGCAUAAAAAUAUAUUUUUUUAAAGGAACCCUGACGGAACCCUAACGGUAGGAGGUGAAGUGCACAUUUUUUAUUUUACAUGGGGGCAAAGGGUAGGUUUUUAAAUGUCAAGGAGGAAAAGUAAAAAAGCGGAUUAUUAUAAGGGAAUUUUUUGUAAUUUAGCCUUUUAUUUUCUCAAGGUCGCCCGAUCACGCUAUAACUAUGCUUUGAUUUUAUUUUUAUAUACGAUUAACCUUUUUUUUUAAUUUACUAUAAAGAACUCAUCGUGUAGUUUUACAGAAAUUCACUUUGCUAUUCUAUUAGGUAGUGUAUUUUUUUAAUAAAACAAAAAUAAACCCAUAAAAUAGUUAAGUAUAAUUAUUUGAAUCACAUGNGCAUAAUGCGGGGUGGGGAGGCGGCGGCAGCAAUGGCGGAGGGGUAUUUUCGGCAUAAAAAAUUAUUUUAUAACGGAACCCUAACGGUAGGGGGUGAAGUGCACAUUUUUCAUUUUACAGGGUAGCAAAGUGUAGGUUUUUAAAUGUUAGGGGGGGAAAGUGAAAAAGCGGGUUUUUAUAGGGGGGUUUUCUGUAAUUUAGCCUAAAAAUAAACUUUAAAACUUGCAAAAUAUCAUGAUGUUUUAGUAUAAUUUUUUUUUUUAUUAAUCGUGAUAAAUGAUUGUGACCAAUCGAUAAGACCAAACUUAAUCGUUCUUCAUAAUUAGUAAAUUAAAAUUGUUUGGUCUAAUUCGAUUCUUUUCAAAAUAUUUUUAAUUGCUAAUUCAUGAAAGUAAUAAAAUAGAUAAGAGCAAAAUAAUUUUUUCACAUAAAACAUGAUGCCUUUAAAAAUCACAAAAAAUNCUUUCUUAUUUAUCCCUAAUAUUAAAAACAACCCUUUAAUCUUUAAAGUUAUUUUAAAUAUAUCUCUAGAGUUAAAUUUUAUUUGAGAAUUUUUAGAAACAACCGUUAUCUUUUUGAAACUAUUAUUUUGGUUUUUUAAAUAUAUCUUUCUAUAAUCACCAAUUUUUUUUAUUUGAAUGUAAGUUAGGGGCAAAUGAAGUAUUUUGACUUUUCGUUUUUCAAAAAUGCCGUUCAAUCAUUACUAACUUUUCUUAUUUGAUCUUAAGGUUAGGAGCAAAAAAAAAUAUUUUGACUUUUUUUAACUCUGGUAAAAAUUUAACAUGAGUUUAAUUCGAGAUGACUUAACGAACACUAACAAUCAAAUUAUUUUUAAAAUUAAAAAAAAUAAAAUAUUUAAAAAAUUUUGAGAAAUAUAUUAGGGAUUAUCUGUAAAUAUAAUAAUGCAAUACUUGGUGUGACCACCCCUUCGUUCGUCCGCAUUGUCAAGGUCCUCCACAAACCAUGUUAAAAGCUCUUAUCAAAACCACUUAGAUGAUCCUUCAUCUGGAAGAGUCAAUGCACCCCAGGUAUUGUUUGCUUCUUAAGUAUUUUAUCGGCCCACAGAAUUCUUAUACAUACAAUAUUUUGCGUCUCAUACGAUAUUAUCUAAUCAGAAUCUUUUCUAUCGUGGGUGUUAAUACAUCAACAAAAUAUUUUUUUUACAAAGUUCAAUUUUCAUAUGUUGUUUCUCUAAAAAUUCUAAUGUUUUUAAAUAUAUCCUUCUAGUUUGUUAUUAUUAUAGAAUUAUUUAUAUUUUAAGUGAAAUAUCAAUUUUGCCAUCAUAAAUAUGUUCCUCCAAAAGCCAAUUAAACAAUAUAAUAUAAGAAGGACAAAAAUAUCGAGUUAUCUCAUAACUUAAUUAGGGUUAAGUAUUAAAUUAUGGUUAACUAAAGUUUUCUAACGGUAUGUACAUAUUUAAAAAUAUUAAAAUUUUUGAAGGAACAAUAUAUGAAAGUUGAAUUUUGUAAGAAUAUAUUUAUAAUUCAGUAUGCUUAUCAGAACACGCAUGAAAUUAACUCUUAAAAAAAAAAUAUCUUGGUUUUGGGAGGUGAAUGGUUGCUUAAGCUCACCACCAAGCUAAGAAACCAACGAAGGUGGAUUUUAUAAUUAAAGAUCAACUUCUUUUUCUGCAACAAGAGAGAAGAGAGAGAAGAAAUAGAAGAGAGAGAAGGGGGGCUCGAAAAGCAAAGGGGGGCGGGGGGGUGCGGGGGAUGCGAUUAAUGAUACGUAAGGAAGCGGAUCUCACCACGAAAACUGCUGCCAUUGGCUCACCCAUUUCAAUCAAGCAAAUAAAAAAAGACACCCAUGCAAUCCUCCCCGAACAUGUGUUUAUCUCCCCCCUCGCCCAGUCCCCCCCCCCCUCGCAGCUUUUCUAGAAUAAGAGAGAAACUCAAUUAAACACACCACACCCCCCCUACAGAUUUCUUUCUGUAACUCCUCAAUUUGUGAUACACACCGACCGACCAACCAACCAACCAACCAAGAAGAUCGUGAAAUUGAGAUGGACGGGGAGGAUCAGCUGGAUCACGCGGCGGCGGCGGCGGAGGCGGCGCUGGCGGCGGACGACGGUUCGUGCUGCGGCAGCUGGCUGAUGAACAAGAAGAAGCGGUUCAGCGAGGAGCAGAUCAAGUCGCUGGAGUCGAUGUUCGAGACGCAGACGAAGCUGGAGCCGCGGCAGAAGCUGCAGCUGGCCAAGGAGCUCGGCCUGCAGCCCCGGCAGGUCGCCAUAUGGUUCCAGAACAAGCGCGCGCGCUGGAAGUCCAAGCAGCUCGAGCGCGAGUACAGCGCCCUCCGCUCCGACUACGACCUCCUCCUCGCCUCCUUCGACUCCCUCAAGAAGGAGAAGCACAUGCUCCUCAAACAGGUGGGUACAUACCGCAAUUGUUUCUUUUCUUUUCUUCUAUUUUCACAUGAUCGAUCUUUACAUAUCUAAGCCCUUUUAGAUUCACAAAUAUUUUCGGUUCAAUUUUCGAGUAUUAAGAUUAUUUUUAGAUUUUUUUUUUUUUUUAUCAGAUCUAUAUUUUCAGAUAUUUGACCACACGCACAUUUUUACAUGCACUUUCUAAUAAAAUUCUAAAUAAGAUUUGUAUGCUACUUCCGGUAAUAAUCUUUGCUUGAUUACGUGCAUUUGCAAAAGCUCAGUUCCCCUGUCUACUACUUUAUAAGUAAUAUUUCCUCCCAUCUAUAUAUAUUAUUAAUAUAUAUAUAUAUAUAUAUAUAUAUUAUAUAUAUAUAUAUAUAUACUUUUCUGUCCGUACGUGAGUUAAAAUGAUAUGAUUAUUCUUAAACUAUAUCUAGUAUUGACAUCGAGAGAUGAUCCAAAGAAUUUUUUUUUUUUUUUUUUUACCUAGGUUAGAGCUAAAUCAAGAAAUAAAAAAAAAAAGAGGUACUGAGAAUAAUUAAUCCCAUUGGUAAAAGAACGGCUCUUUGAGAAAGGGCCGAAAAAGCCCCUAAUUGAUAAUAGUGUUAUAUUACACCUACUAAAUAAACAAAAUUCAUUAUUAUAUAAGGUAUGACUGGCUAUGAGAAGAGGAGGAAGCUGAUCUACAAGAUCAAAUCGAUUUUUUUGGAUAAUUGACAAUAUAUACUUAGCCUUCGUUUGGUUUGGGGUUAAGAAAGAAGUAGCUAUUCCAGGAAUAGAAUUAAGUUCAAAGUUAAAGUGGGAUUAAAAUUUUUUUGUGUUUGGUUGGAGGUUGGAGUUAAUCUAGAAUAAUGAAAAUUAGUGUUUGGUUGGAGUAGGUGGAGUAAAAAAAUAAUGAUUGAUAAAGAAGGAUAAUGAUUAGUUGGAGUAGGUGUGAUAAGAAAGAUAGUGGGUUAUUAUGAAUAGAAAAUAGUGUUUGGUUGGAGUUUGGUAGGGUUAGGUGGGAUUAGCUAAUCCGGAAUAAUUUAUUUGAGGUGGGGUUAACUAACCCCAUCCAUUUUUUGAAGUGUUUGGGGAUAAAAUGGGGGUUAAGAGGUUAUUCAACCCCUUAACCCCCAACCAAACAAGGGCUUAGAAAUUUAACUAAUUGUAUCCUAAUUUCUAUUCAAAACUUCUGGUACCUUAUUAAUCUAUAGCUGCUGUUUGGUUGCACGCAGUUGCAAAAGCUCAACGGGCUGCUGGACAAGCCGCAAGAAGGAAGAAGCAGAUGCUACGGUGAUUCGGAGAACGCAGAUCUCAACGGCGCGACGGAUAAACGACCGAACUUCCAAAUGAAAGAGGAAUCGGAUGCGAGGGUCGUACCGUACUCGGAUGAAGAAGACAAGAAGUUCCCGUGUUUGAUCAGCGAGGACGAAGCGGAGCUUUACACGGUGCAGCAACAAGCUUGCAGCACUUUAACAUCCGAAGUUGAGGAUCAGUUCGGUUUCCAAACCAGUUGGCCUUCUGAUCAGUCCUGCACCAGCACACAAUGGUGGGAGUUUUGGCCCAUGAAUGAAUAAACCCGCCAAAUUGCCGAUCGAUUUAAUGUUGCAGGUUUGCCGAGAAAUAUUAGAGUUGUUAGCAUGUUUAGGAUCAUUUAAAAGUUUGAGAUCGAUCGAUGCGGCUGUAAAUAGUUACAGAUUCUGGGUAUGUUUUUGCGCUGAAAUUUUUCACAUUUUUUUCCGUUAACCGGGCGAUCGAAAACGAAAUAACAUAGCCAAAUUAAUUAAUUAAUUAAUUAAUUAAUUAAUAUCAAUGAUGUGUAUAACCAACACCCAUCAUUGUUAAGGCAUAUAUUAAUUACAUAUAAGUUGGCUUGAUGGAAAUAGCAUCAUCAAAGUAAAAUAAACCACGAAAAGAAAAGAUAUAAGAUAGUGCAAAAAAUUCUAUGUAGGGACAAGAGUUUUAAUGCGUGUAAGGUACAUCAUUUUGUACAAAUGAUUUUAAGCAAAUGAAAGAGGCAUAAGCAAACUGAGUCUACUAGUGAGGUAGAGAAAUAAUAUUCUCAUUAAUUAGCAUUAGUUAAAAAGUAUCUUAGAAUGCCAAAAUCCACAGAUUAAAGAGUAAUUAGCCAAUCGUACAGAAGUCGUUAUCGAACUCACAAUCGAAAGUCAUGCUAUUUGAUUGAUUAGCACAAGCAUAGUACUAAAAUAUUUCCAUUUCAACGUGUACCAAUUGAAAACAAACACAGAUAAGAUACUAAAACCCAAAAAAAAAAAAAAAAAAAAUCUUGUACGGCUACCUUAAGAGACUUGAUCAAACUCCCAAAACUUUCAAUUAUUAAUAAUUAAUCUUUUUUUUAUAAUCACAAGUUUCCAAUUUCUUAAAUCGAAGAGUGUCGUCGACACGUAGUAUGACUUGUCAUGUAGAUUCUUUCCAUCUCUACUUGUUAUUAUAUUUAUUUUUUAGAUUAAUUUACUCCAAUUGAUUCCUUUCUUAUAAAGCUUUUGCUGGUGAUACUUCAAGUUCAAUGCUUAUUUUCUGCAGCUUUGUCUCACAAGCAAGUUUAGUUCACAAGAUUAAUACAGCUCUUAACCUGAUUAAUGUAAAGAGAUCCAACUUUUAAAAUUUUUCAUCGAAAUUCAUUAAGUUUCGAUUACUCUGUUUUGACUUAUUUUCGUCAUUUGAAUUCAAAAUUUUAUUAAAGGGAUACUAUCGAUCUAAUAUGCCUUUUGAAAUUUCAAAAAUAUUUAAUUUACUCCCGAUUGAUCAAAAUAUUCUUAUUCAUCUCAAAGAAUUUCUUUAAAUAUAUCCCUGCUAUCUAGAAUUCACUAAUGGCAUUGAAAUUUAAAAAUUUUAAAUAAUAACCUUUUUAUUAAAACAACUAACUUUAGUUUAGGGUUCCCGAUUUAAGGCAAUGCCCUAUUUUAUUGGUGUAAUUAAAUAACUUAAAUCAAAUAAUUGAAAGCUAGGAUGUGUUGUGUUGAUAGAGCCUAUUUUGGAAUGGCAUAUAUAUAUAUAGAGUCCGGCUGCUAUACUAUCGAUAGCACCAAGCGCUUGGUGCUAUUAGGGAUGCAAAUGGAUCUGGGUUGGGGAAGCUCCGCCCCGAUCCGCCCCGAAUGGCGUGGUAAGUGGGAACAAAAAAUAUAAAAAAAUAUAACCCGUCCCGAUCCGCCAAGUAAAUGGAGCGGGAGGUGAGACUCUUUUCUUCCUUCAAUCCGCCUCGAUCCGUCAAAAAUCCGGCUCCCGCCCCGAUCCGCCCCGAAUGGAGCGGUAAGUGGGAGCCAAAAAUAAAAUGAAAAGUAACCCGCCCCGAAUCCGCCCCGCCCCGAUAAGAAAUGGAGCGGGAGGUGGGGGAACUCUCCCGCCCCCGGAUCCGCCCCGUUUGCAUCCCUAGGUGCUAUCAAGUUUUCUGCCGUUAGAUUAACCCCUUUGAUUAUUUUUACCCGUUAGAUUAUAUUAUUCAACCAACCACUUACUCAAUCCUAGAGGCCCAUAUCAUCUUAACCGCAUAUUUCUCAAUCCAAGGGUUAAAAAACUAAUAGUACCAAUAGCUUGGUGCUAUUGAUAGUAUUCUAGCCUAGGUAUAUAUAUAUAUAGUAGGUCUUGUGUGCUAUUAGGAGCACGGAGGCUUUCGUGCUAUUAGGGUUCUCGAUUUAAGGCAAUGCCCUAUUUUAUUCGUGUAAAUAAAUAACUAAAAUAUUUUUUUUUUUUUUGAGAGAUAGGUAGCACGCUACCGGCUUCGUCUAUUUUGGAGUGGCCUAUAUAUAUAUAUAGAGAGAGAGUAGGCCGUGUGUGCUAUUAGGAGUACGGAGGCUUCCGUGCUUUUAAGCCGUUUUCAAUGAUGGAGCUUUUAAAUCGAUGAUCGGCUCCGUUAAACUUGAUCUAACGUAUUUGAAGUAUCUGAAAAAUAAAUUUUGUGAUUUUUUGAUAUCAUUUAUUUGCAAUCGAAAUGGUUCAAAAUAAACGAAUAAAAAUAAAAAUCUCACAAAAAGUGGUGAUAUAGUAUUAAAAUUUUCGAUCAAAGAUAUUGAUCUUAUUGCAAAUAGUAUAAAGAAUUUUUUAUUAAAAUUUUAUCUGAUUUGUAUGCUUUUAAACCGUUAAACUUGCAAACGAUAUAUAUCAACUAUUAAAAUUUAUUUAUUUUGAACCCUUUCAAUCGCCAGAUAAAUGAUAUUGAAAAGUCGCAAAAUUUAUUUUCUAUGUACUUUAAAUACGCUAGAUUAAGUCUAAUGGAGCCGAUCGUCGACUCGAAACCUCUAUCAAAAAUAGUUUAGGAGCACGAAAGCCUCCCUUCUCUUAAUAGCACACGAGACCUACUCUCUCUCUCUCUCUCUCUCUCUCUAUAUAUAUAUAUAUAUAUAUAUGGAAUUGAGCUUCUAUACUUUUAAAAGUACCAAGUUAUUGGUGCUUGUAGAUUUUUGACCAUUAGAUUAAGAAAAGUGCUGUUUGGAUGAUGUGGGGGCUCUAGGUUUGAGUGGAUGGUUGGUUGAAUAGUAUGAUUUAACGGAUGAAAAUGAUCAAAAGGAUAGAUUUAACGGUAAAAAAUUUAUAAACACAAAGUGCUUGAUGCUUUUACAAGCACCAUAGCCGAACUCACUCGCUCUCUCUCUCUCUCUCUCUCUCUCUCUCUCUCUCUCUCUAUAUAUAAAUAAAACCACAGAAUAGGAAAGUGAUAUAUAUAUAUAAGUUUGAGAGGAUCAUUAACCUUUUUUUUUAACCUUAAAUAACUAAAGAAAACUUUAAAUACCAUCCAUGUGGUUUUGUACUUUCUCACUUUAGUACUCUGUGGUUUAAUAUAUAUCACUUUCCUAUUCUGUGGUUUUAUUUUUCUCUUUUUAUUAUUCUUUCGACUAAUUUUUUUCGUUAAAUCAGUGAUAAAAUUAAAACUAAAAGAUACUAAAGUAAAUAUUCGAUAAACUAUAGAUGGGGUAUCUUAAAUUUUUGUAUAUGAUUUAACAAAAAGUUAACGUAGGGGCUGACGAAAAGAGAAAAAUGAAACCAUAGGGUAUUAAAUUGAUAGGCUUUAAAUCACAUAAUACUAAAGUAAGAAAAUACGAAACUACAGAGAUAGUAUUUGAAGUUUACCCAAAACUAAAAUAUAAAAUUUUGUACUUUUUUCUUAUCUUCAUACAAUUUUUUAGGCCCAGUUGUAUGGCUAAAACAAUGUUAAUGUCUCUUUCAUCCUCCCCAUUAGCUAUUCUUAUAUAGCAAAGGUUCAGCUACUCGGACACAUGAAAGGUUCAAAAAAACUCGCGUACGACAAAAUUGAUGACACUGACUGGUCAUAAUUCUAUAACGAAUCAACUGUACACGGAGAUGCUCCCUUAUUGAAAUAGACCCCUCAAAUCUUACUUUUAAGUCCCCCUAAGGCAUAAUGACCGUUUCUAGAACAAGUGGCAAAGAAUUUGAUAGUUGGUAUUCGAGAUCCAAGUCAAAUUCUAGUUGAUUCAUAUUUUUAGCUAAGUUUAUUUCUAAAUGAAAUAAACGAAACGUAUAGCGUGCUAUCUAUUUCUCUCAAAAAAAAAAGAAAUCUUCCUCAGGCAUUAAAAAUAGGCCUUUUUCUUAAAAAAAUCACCAAUUUUCAGAUUUUACAAUGGUGAGCCACCAUUUUGAUUUUAUAGAUUCGGCCCGAAUUUAUAAUAAACUGAGCAAUAUACUCUUAUUUCUCUUUCUCUCUCUUCUUUUUACUUUUUUUUUUUUUCUUCUGCUUCACUUUGUUUUUGUUCUUGCCAUUUCUUCCUCUUCUUCUACUCUUACUUUUUCUCCCCUCCUCCUGCUCCUCCACUGCCGUCACAUCGACGUCGUUCUCUCUUCUUUUUUUUUUUUUGCUUGUUCAUUUUCGCCUCCCGCUCUGGUUCAUCUCUCUCCUCGUCGUUUCUUCCUCUCCUCUUCUCUACUUUCUCUUCCUUUUCCUCCUCAUCUUUCACUGCCUUUACAUUAACGCCAUGUUCUGCUCUCUUAACUAGCCCACACCUCUGCUGACACCAGCUCAGAUAUGAUAUAGAUCGCGGAAGUGAGCUUACGGCAGAGUGCAUGGCUGCAGAUGGCGAUAGCAAUGAGGAUAUCGAAAGAUUUAAGGAUGACGGGGAGGGAGAGCGCAUCGAACGGAGGUGGUACCUGCGGUAGAGGACGAGAGAGGAAGUGUAAUAGCGAAAAAAGAUAUAGAUGGUGAAAAAGAAAGAAGAAGAAAGAAUAAAAAGAAAAAAUAAAGAAAAGAAUUUUGUCUUGUGAAGACUAUUAUGUGUCAUCACUGCUAAAGAAAAAAUCAAGAACCAGAGGAAAAAGAAUAAGAAAAUAAAGUUGCACUGUUUAAAAUAAAAAAUGCACUCUUUCAAACAAAAAUUGCACUGUUUAAAACUAAAGUUAUACUUUUUGAGUGAAAAUCAUAAAAUUAAUUUAUAUAUACAUACACACACUGACAGCCCAAAGAUAUAUUUGCCCUUGAAUCGAGAGUGUAAAAUGUACAUUCCCUACAAGGAAUGAACAGGUAGCAUUUUUGUUCUCUUAAGUUACAUCAAGCUGUCUAGUGAAGAAACUCCACUCGUGGGAUGGAUAAGGUGUAAGAUUAACAUCCAAUUUUAGAUUUAUGAGUAACAUUGCUCUUAAAAAUAUAAAAAGGUUAAAAAUAUAUAAAGAUUCUUUCAACUAGGGAUGUCAACGGGUAUGAAUGCUCGAAAUUUUAUCCAAAUCCGAAUGCAAACAGUGCGGAUUUAACCAAUGCUAAAUAGAUAUGAUUUUGUAUAUUGGUAUAAAAAACAAAAAUCUAACGGAUUUAGAUUUCGGUAUUGAUUUUAUCUAUACCCCCGAUUUAAAUCUAAACCAGACAGAACCCAAAUAAAUUUUAUAUUAUUAUAUAUAUAUAUAUAUAUAUAUAUAUAUAUAUAUAUAUUAUAUUUUAAUUUGUAUUUUAAAAUUUUAAAUUUUAACAUAAUAUAUUUUAAAAUAUGAGAAAAAGAAGUAAUUAUUUUGAAUUCAGAUUUUCGAGUUUAGUUCUGGAAUUUGCCCGGCUUUCAACUUGUCGACACCCCUACCCUCAACGAUAGGCCACGGAGAAAUAGCCUCCUAAACUAUACUAUUUUGGAUUCAAACCCUUCAACCUUUUUUUUUUUUUAUUUUUUUUAUUUUUAACUAGCAUCGAAUACUUUUAGCUGAAUAAAAUAAAAUUUUACUAAAUUGAUUGGUAAUCCCAUCAAAUUUUUAAAAGUUUAAACUAUUUAUAGUGAAUAAAGCCAGAUUAGUUAGCUACUUGGGGUAGCGGAGAUGAAAUUUAACAAUCUUUUAAACUUAGGCUUCGUUUGGAAUUGUAGGAAGAUUGCAUUAAUUACGUGCGGUGAGAAAAUACGAUAAGUAAAUAUUCUAUUUGUUUUGGUACGUAAUAUUACGCUCCGCAUAUCGUGAUAAGUUAGUUAUGAUAUAUUUUUUAUAUACGGUUCUACUAGAAAACAUAGAAGCAUAACUUUAUAUAUUUUUACCCUAUCUCUAUUUUAUCUAAUAGCUUCAGAUUGAUCUCGAUACCAAACUAAGCUUACCCUAUCUCUAUUUUAUCUAAAUGGAUCUCAAUACCAAACUAAGCGUACAAAAGUAUGAAACUCAUUUUCAAAAAGAUUUGAACUUAAAAACGGUGUCAAUCAAAUAUUUUAGAAUGGCUAUAGUUGAAGAGGGUCUCCAUACGUAUUGUUUACACAAAAGAGCAAAAGUUGAAGAGCUCAUUUCAAAAGCGCACAGGGUUGAGUGGGUCUCAUUAAACUUUCACUUUAAAAAUUGAGCAAUACUACUAGUACACUCUAAAAAUAAGUGUAUAUCUGAUAUUCAUUCGAUUCAAAAGUUAUUAAUUCUCUAUCUAUUACCUCAAAAAAAAAAAAUUUAUUAAAGAUUAUUUAUAAUUUUGUGAACUCUAGUACAGUGGAUAUAGAAUUUAUACCAAUUUUUGGAAUGUACAUAUGAGACCCCUUAUAUAUAUAUAUAUAUAUAUAUAAUAAGGCUUAAACUCUUAAUCCAGUUAUAGUACUCUUAAUCCAGUUAUAGUAUUUUAGACUGUGAUUAGACCCAAGAGAUUAAGAGAGUUAAGCGUAUUAGAAUUAGAAUAGUCUUAGAAUGGACGACCCUUUGGAAAUUAGGGCGUCAUAAUUGGUAUCAUAGUUAGUUAUCAGCCGAAAGUGUGAGAUGAAUUUUUGCUGAGCUAGAAUUAUAUAGUAGGGAAAGCAAGACAAUCAUACUGUUGACUGUUGCGGAUGGAGUAUCACUCUCCCGCAAGGUCGGUUAAGACUAACGAGAUGAAUCUCACAUCACAUGCUACUCGUGAAUUUGAGCGUGACGAAGACGUCAGAACUUACAAAAAAAAGUAAGAAUAAAAAACUCGAGAUAGUCCUAUAUAGAGUUGAGCUAGAAUACUCUAAAAAACAACAAGAGGAUGGUGCUUUUGAGUUUUUAGCCAUUGGAUUGAGAGAUGUAAGGUUGGAUGAUGAUGAUAGGUGGUGGUAGGUGGUGGUAGGUGGAAUAGUGUUUAAUCGAAAGGCUAUUAGUAAUCAAGGAGUAGAUCGAUCCAAGGGUUAAAAACCUUUGUUUCUAAAGGUAUUCUAGCUCAAUUCGUCCUAUAUAUAAGAUAUAAUAUGACUAAUAUUCUUAAUUCGACUAUAGUUUUUUAAGCACUGGAUGUUA